ACACACACACACACACACAUUGCGUUUCUGUAAACACACACACUGUCUUUGCGCUAUGUUUUCCUUGUGCGCUUUAACGCAAAAUCACACAAUCAAAAUCACACACUCGUCCGCCUGCCCUAAGCCCCACCCCGCCCUGCCCAACCGCACCUGCCAUACCACGCCCACGCGCACGCGCUCCGGGUGAGCGGCGGCGGCGAACAGGCUGUGCAGCGUCCAGGCGCACUCGGGGUCGCGGUAGGCGGCGAUGGACACGAAGAUGCGGGGCCGCCGCCGGCCCGGCCGCCGCCCGACACACGCCAUACCACCACCGCGGUCGGAUGCAGCUUCUGCCGGCAUGGGGGCCUGCCCGGCAGCAAGGGAGCCGAGGGGCCCAGGGCUUGCAGCCGCAUCUGCGCCCGCCGCAGCUGCAGAGGUGGAGGUGCAGUCGGGCGAGGGUGCGGCUGCAGGCGCCGUGGACGUGGACGUACCCGGUGCCGCGGUGGUUGCAUCCACCGCCACCUGGGGCACAGCAGGCGGCUGUGGCGGCUGCGGCAGCUGUGUCGGCUGGGGCGCCUGCGGUGCUGGUGCUGGAGGCUGUGGCGAUGCUGCUGGUGGUGGAGGCUGCUGCGGCGGCGUGCGGUGGAACCAGGCGGUGAUUGCAUACCUGUAGAGUGAGGAGGGUGGGGCACGACGUGUUGCAUACGGUGUGUGUGUAUGUGUGUGUGUGUGUGUGUGUGCGCGCGUGCGCACGCGUGUGUGUGUGUGUGUGUGUGUGUGUGUGUGUGUGUGUGUGUGUGUGUGUUAAAAAACGAAACGAAAUCCCGCCCAACGACGCGACGGAGUUACUUACCGAUACCCACCAUUUUACCGAGCGUUGCGUGACUGUCGUGACCCAGGUAGUCAUACUUACCCGCGAUAAGCCUGGAACCCCACGGGCGACCAUUCGGCCUGACCCCGCGAUGCACCUGUAUGCGUCCAUGCUCCGCACCCUGGGCGCGCUAAACAGUGUGUGUGUGUGUGUGUGUGUGCGUGUGUCGGGACACACAAGGCGGAAGGGUCGACAUUGAGUGUGUAUGUGUGCACGUUGUGAAUGGAGCGGGCUGCACGGGGCAGGUUGCGACCCAAGGUCCCGCGGCUUCCCGCUUUUCUCCCCUCCCCUCAUCACCUGUGCCUGUGCGCCGGCAUCACCUCGUGCCACAGGUGGCUCUCAAACACCAGCAGCCGCCCACCCAGCGGCGCCACCAGCACCGCCGGCUCGCCGCACUGCAGGCCCGUGCCCGCAGCGCCGCGCCGCGCCACUGCCCCACGCCCCGGCUCGCGCGUCGCCCCCGCUGCCGCUCCUGCCGCUGUCGCUGCAGCUGGUGUUUCCGCUGCUGCUGCUGCUGCUGCUUCUGCUGGUACCAGUGCUGCUGGUACGGCGCCCGCAGCCGCCGCCCCGGUACCUGCCGCUCCGUCUGCAGCAGGUGCUGCGUGUGCUGCUUGCACCGGUGCUGCCGCCGGCCCGGCUGCCGGCGGUGUGGUGUGGGCCAUGCAGGUGGCGUGCGGCACAUUGUACAGCGCCAGGCAGCCGCCGUCCACCUGCACGGGCACAGCGGGGGAGAGGGCCAGGGGUUUUGAGGGCCCGGGUUGUUUGUCGCCUGCCACCCGCCCCUUCUCCUCCCGUCACUUCAGAACACAUCAACCCCAACCCUGACCCCACCCCCCCACCUGCGGCCCGCCUCUUCCCCACCUGCACGCCCCACCUGCGGGUCCCAGUCCUGUUCAUUCAGGUACACAAUGGCUGUGACGGCGCGGGUGGGGCAGCUGAGCGAGGCGUCUGCGUGCCGCACGUAGCGGGCGCCGCCGCCCGGGUACACGGCCAGCUGGUGGGUGGUGCUGCCGCCCACGUCGUACCUGGCCAGGGGUGGGCAGGGGGAGGGGGGAAUAGCAGGAGGAAAAUUGGGUGGACGGGGAGGGGGGAUACCAGGAAGGGACUUGGAGCACCUAAGGGGGGGGGGGGUUGGCGGGAGGCAUCCCCUACCCGGCUACUCGGCUUUUGCGCCUUCCAUCCGCCCCAGCCCCCGCGCUCUCUAAUCCCGGGUCCUGGUUCACUUGGGAUUGGAGUCAACCACCCCCAGCCCCAUUCGGCCCUUACCCCUGCCGCAGCAGCUGCCGCCGCACCCCCUCCAGCGCCGCCACCACUGCCUGCAGCGGCGGCCGCGCCGCCGCCGCGCCCGGCCCCGCCGCCGCAUCGGCCGACUGCGGGUGUAACCACAUCAUGUGGUCGCCCCGCGACUGCAGCGGGCACAAGAGGCACACAGCACACGAGGCACAUACGGGAGCGAUUUCAUAUUACACUGCUAGUUAGUAUAAUAAUGCGGUACUGCGCCCAUACCGAGAGGAAGGAAACGCCACGGAUUCUUAUUGCCUUGGCCACCCGAGUGCACGAGUCGCAACGCACGCAUUGGCACGCACCUGCGUGUCGACGGCACGGCCCUCGCCCGGCAGCUGCAGCCCCCCGCCAAUGGCCGCCUGCCGGUGCCGCUCCGCGAGCGCCUCCCGCGCCGCCUGCCGCGCAUCCUGUGCGUGUGAAUGCCGGAGCGCGGCAAGCAGCCUCUCAGGUGGUGAGGUUUAAGCCGCAAACACGCGAUUCGGCCCUUCAGUGCCCCUGGACACGUGCGGCCGCGGCCGCCACAGCCAUCGCUGCUGGCUCGUGAUGGUGCCUCAACGGCUUCAUGCUCUUGCCUUCUCCAUUUUAGUUCAACUUUCGCCCCCCCCCACGAAGCGGGGCUCUGCGCGGGCGUGCUUUGCCUGCCAUUCCCCCAUUCCCUGUCCCCUUUGCCCGAGCCAUGUAAUGGGCUGGAUCCAUCGCCCCCGGCACUGUGCUGAAUGCGUUUUUUGUGUUAGCGCACGCACCUCAACCAGGUCGGGCGAAAGGAAGCCGUCGACCACACACGCCCCACCAACCAGCUUCAAGCCAGGCACCGCUGCUGGUGCAGCAGGCGGCUUGGGCGGCUGGGGGCCGCCAUGACGAGCGGCGGCGCAUGUCGCAGCGCUGAGCGCCGAGGUCGCCGGGGGUUCGGAAGAUGUCGGCGACGGGCGAGGGGGGCCCACGAUUGCGUCGAGGAUGUGACGCCGGACCGAGUCGGGCAGCGCGUCAAGUCGGCUGUAGAUGUCCAUAUGACCACGCUACAGCGUAACUUAAUGCGAUACUACUGCAACAACGUUGCAUUCGAAAGGACCAUUCUUUCGUUCCUCAACAUACUAGCUUUCAAUUGCAUGUAUGCUAAUCUUGGACUUUCAUGUGUAUCUCCAGUCUUAUGUGGAGAUGAGGCUCCUUCAGAACGCGGUUCUGGGUCGGCCCUUACGGCAUGCGCAGCCAGCGAGUGUGUUUUGGCGCGCGUUUCCCGGUGGUAGCCGGCCCGCCCCCGCCACCACCAACGCCUCAGCAUCCUUCCACCUUGUAAGCCAUUCUACAAAGUAGCUGAUCACGGUGUCAGGUAAGCUUUCUCAAGGACGCAACUUCCGGUGCACUCUCCAGUUAAGCCAUCGAAGCGUUCGAACCGAUCCGUACCCCACCUCCACUUGGCCGCGCUGGCUGCCGAGAAGCGUGCCGAGAAGCUCUUCCCCGCCGGUCUGCCAACCAAAUAUCCACAUGCACAGCCGCAUGCAUAGCGGCGCUCAGCCGCAAAAGCAAAAUCAGCUUGCGCGCCUCGAGGCGCGCGCAUGCCCCGCUGGACCCGCCCUGGCGGGAAGCUACCUGCGAUCCUUCCUUAUUCGUAGUUUUUGAAACAAAAUUAUACACAACAUCAGCUACACCUUAAUUUGCAUGUUUGUGCCCCGUUGCCAUCGUGUUCGCUUCCAGUUCUAGUUCGGCAACUCACUAAGCCUGGAUCCAGCAGCAAUUUCUUGUUAAUUGCAUCAUACUGAAUGACAUUGCGUCCGCUGGAGCCAUGAUGGCUGCUGUUUUGUGAAAGUUCGCGUGUUAACUUUCCAGUUUCGAGCGCUGCGACGCCUGCGCCUACGCCGCGCUAGGCAAAACAAAGUAAUAACAUGCAGAGUAUGAGACUAUUACGGCCGACAUCUAGCUGGCGUGGCCGGGAGGGCUCGGCAACGCUGUUCAGCAAGCGGUGUUGCGCCCUCGCCGCGCUCUCUGUCUCAUGCCUGAUACUUAUACUGGCGCUAAACCAAGCUCCAUGGAGUAGCUCGAGCAGCAAAUCGGUUGCAUCGCGGCGCAGCUUGCUUGGGUUCAGGUCGCAGAAAUCGCAACCCUUGCGGGCUGUCCGGCGGAAGUCCGUCGACGAUACAUUUGGUGAGCUCAUCAAAGCAUGCUUUGCGGAGGCUUCCCAUGGGCCUUGCAAAUCGCACAGCGUUGGCGGGUCUCAGCCAGGCGGGGAACCAGGGGUAACAUCUGGUGGCUGGGGGGUUUUGCCGCCCGUGACACACCUCAGCCACCUCUGCACUCCUGCCCCCCCCCCCGACCAGCCCCUUACCGGACCUUUCCCUGGUAUCCCCUGCUCACGCAUCCUCUUCUCCCCCACCCCACCUGCUUUCCUUCCCUACCCACCACGGGACCCAGCCACCAUCUUCCACUCCGAGCUCAUCGACCUGUUCGGCCUACACAAGGGCGGCCCCGAACCCGUCGACCAGCUCUUAGUCACGCUGCGGCAGCUGCAGGCGGCGCGCAUCCGUACCGUCAUGUUCUCCAUCAGCUGGGCCUGGCUGGAGCCGGCGCAGGGGCAGCUUCGGUGGGGCUACCUGGAGGACGUGGUGGGCAGCGCCUGCAGCCACACGGAGCUGAAGGUGAGCAGGCGGAGGGGGAGGAGAGGGGGCAGGGGGCUUGGGCGCAGCAGUCGUUUCUAGUUGCCAUGUAUGGGUGUUAUCAGCAUAGCGGAGCAAGGUACUUGUAAGGAAAGCCCCUUUUUACACGCAUGCCUUGCGCACUCACCUACAAGGACACGGUACGCCCACACGCCAGGUGACCCUUAUCGUGGACCUGAUGCGUGCGCCCGACUGGCUGUUUGUGCUGCACCCGGGCGCUGCCGUGCUGGACGCGGGCGGGCGCAACUACAGCCACCUGUCCUGGUUCCACAGCGCCGCCAAUGAGGUGGCCCUGGGCUCACUGCGGCAGGUGGGCGGGGGAGGGAAGGAGGGCGGCGGCGGGCGGUGGUGGUGGCUAUGUUUCCACCAUCCCCAAGCAGAAAGCAGGAGCACGAGUGAGGAGAUUGUGCGAUGGAGGUGCAAAGAGCGGGGGAGGGGAUGUUAGCUGACCACGAAUGGCAGGAGUGGACAAGGGAAGGAGCCUAGACUGCUUUACAUAGCCACAGGACAAAGAUGCGUACAGCGUGUGCUUGGACACCAUUGGUGGGUCCAUCUCAUGUGCGGAGCUGUCUGUUUGGCUAGGUGCUGUGUGUCGUAAGCCGGCUGGCUCACAUGUGCUCCUCUUGCUGCCGGCCCCUGCUGUCCACCGCCCGCGCAGGUGGUUGAGGGGCUGUCAGCCAAGUAUGAGGGCUGCAUCAGCGGCGUACAGCCCGUGUACAACAACGAGUACGAGGUAAGGGGGCUGGAGGGGGCAGGGGUUUGGAGGGCAGGCGCAGGCACGCAAUGCGUGCACCAGUUACUUACCUAGCUCCACGCAAUUGUACAUGCGUGGCAGUCCUCCUUCUUCCCCGCCUCUCCCCGCGCGCAACAUAUUCACAAGCCCCAACCACGCUGCACCACACCCCGCCAUGCGCUCCACCACAACCACACACCCAUCCCUAGUCAUGAAUGUAACCCCCAUCCACCCCACACCCACCCCGCACAGGCCAAGUACACCCAGGAGUUCGACAGCUACCAGGACUACAACGCCGCCGCCCUGGCCUCCUACCGCUCCCUCAUGCGCACACGCGUGGGAGGAGACCUGGGCAGGCUCAACGCCCGGUGCGUGCGUUAGAGCGUGUGUGCGUAUAAGAGAGCACUAGGAAUCAUGCACGUGUGGGACUGUGUGUGUGUGUGUGUUAAAGAGCACAAGGAAAACGUUGCGCAACGACAGUGUAUGUGUGUGUAUGUGUGUGUGUGUGUGUGUGUGUGUGUGUGUGUGUGUGUGUGUGUGUGUGUUGCGCCGGCUGGGAAGGGGGGUGGCGUCAUGCGGGCCGCGGCGGGCCAGGCGCACGAGCACACAGCGGUGUCCAGAGGCCCGACCCAGUCGCACACGCCCCUGCCCCGUUCCGCCCUGCAGGUGGGAGACCCAGUUCAGCUCGUGGGAGGAGGUGGCGCCGCCCAAGCUGCAUGCGGGGGCGGUCAUGGGGCCGGACGAGAGCGCCAGGUGGGUCAGCGGGCGGGUGUGGGCGGGGGCGCGGGCGGGUGUGUGCGGGGGUAGGCGGUGCUCCCGUUGUUGGGGUUUAAGAGGCAGGGUACGGCUGCAGGUUUGUGUGGUUACGCUUGGAUCGAGUCUUUAGAUCGCGUCCGUUUUUGGGUGCGCUUUUGAACUGACUGACUGAGCUGCCUGCCUCCUCCCUGUCACUGUCAGUUUCUGGGACUGGCAGCAGUUCCGGGUGCAUCACGGCGCCUCGGUGUUCAACCAGGCGUGUGCGGUGGUGCAGGCCGCGGGGGUGCGCUGCUUCCACCACUUCCCGGAGGUGAGGACGUGGGGCCGUGUAGUGUGGCGUGUGGUGGCGGGGAGGGGUGGGCUGGGCUGGGAAUGACUGGGCUCAAAGGCCAGGUAUAGACUGAGAGGACGUGGUGCGCGGCAGCGUCGGGCGCCUCCCCUGCCACAUGUGCAGGUGUACGAAGCUCCCCUGCGCGCCCCUUACCCAUCCCUCCCACCCUUCAUCUCCCAACCACUGUCGUACGCCCCGCCCCCUGCAGUUCUUCUCGGUGUUGGACGCGGUGUACGGCGCCGCCAUGUUCAAACACAUUGCCGCCAGCCCACACACAGGUAGGGCCGCGCGGGGAAGGGGGCAGGGAAGGGGCCGGGGAAGGUGUAAGCCGGUAUAUCAAUACACGCUAACAAUAUACUCUCGAGACAUCGCGCGAGGCUUUUAUCGUCUUACAAAUGGUAUCGAGACCGACCAGUGAUUAGCUCUUAGGUUACCGCGGGUGGACCCAGGGGGAAAUCGGACCAAUUCGAGAGGUCACUGGAUCGAUCCUGACGCUGUGCGUUAAUUCAAAGAUGAAAGCUGUAAGCCUAAAUAAACUGAAGUGUUGAAGCAGGCCAGUCUACCCGAACUAGGCCCUCGGAGAGUCACCUAUGCCGUGGAAUGGUCGUCACCCAACGCGUAGACGUAUGGCCCCGAGGACGGGUCCCCAUCAAAGGGGGGGGAGUGUAAGCCGGUAUAUCAAUACACGCUAACAAUAUACUCUCGAGACAUCGCGCGAGGCUUUUAUCGUCUUACAGAAGGGGGGCACUAUUGUUUGUUGUUCAGCGCGUGCCGCUGCAAUCCUGCGCGGUGACCUUGUUCAGGAGCGCUCUCAUAAGCUGGGCAGUGCUGCCGCGCCCGGCCCAACACGCAACACCAUGAAAUACCAUCAACCCCAAACCCCACCCCCAGUUUGGGCUGGUAUUUACAACCCGUAUCCCCACGCGUCUGCUAUACUACUGCUCCUGGCUACGCCUUCACUUCUUAGAUAGUCAUGAAUGUAACCCCCACCCACCCCAACACACGCAGACUUCCUGAUCAUGGACUCCAACUUCCGCACCUCCACCGGCGCCCUCAUGGACCCACGCAAACUGCGGCUGUACAUCGCCGCCGCACACGCCUACGGUACGUGCAACUCCCUGGCCCCUGGGCCCCGCGGCCGCUCACCUCGCAUCCCCUAGCUAGGUUGGCUUUGGCAUGGCCUGCUUUCGUCGCUGUGGCCCUGCAUCCGCCUAAACCGCGAGGCGGUUCAUAGCACCGCCUGACAUGACAUGCCUCAACCAGUCAGCCAUCGCGCUGCACCUUCCCAACCUUUCGCCGCCCCACUGCCCCCCUGCGCCUUAAUUUCUUUACUUAUCAUGAAUGUAACCCCCCCCCCUACCUCUCAGGCAAGCCCACCUACUUCGAGGCGGCGGUGGAGCGCUUUGCAGACGUGAAGUUGCUGCAGGUGCGAGCGCGUUUGUGUGGGCAUGUGCCAGGGGCGAGUCCAUACACUUGCUUACCCGACUCCACACCACUGUAUUAAUCUCACCUCAUCUGCUCCCCUCACUCCUGACCCCGCUUCUCCAACCACCCGGGCCCCAGGCCGGCUACGCGCACGCGCUGCUUGCGGGCGCCUCCAACAUGGGCCUCACCAACUGGCUGGGCCGCAUAAACAUCACAGACCCACAGCUGGCGGCAGCCAUGCACGUGGAGGGCGGGCCGGAGGCGGCGGCAGCGGCGACAGCCGCGGCAGGGGCUGGGUCAGGUGUCGGCUGUGGGGCGAUCAGUGAGGCCAGCGAGGUGGUGGGUGUGUUCAUCCACCUGGACUCAUGCGGUGCGUGGCACGGGCUGCAGUGGAAGUCGCCGACCAGCAAGGACCCCUUACACGACUUUGUUGAUCAGCUGGCGGAGCGACUCAUUCCCACGAGCGCCACCACCGCCUCCGCCUCUUCCACACCCUCCACGUCCUCCUCUCCUUCUUCUGGUGCUGGCGCCGCUGGCGCAACCGCUGCCGUGGCUGCUGCGGGCUGUGGCACCGACGUGGCGGUGUACGUGGACCUGGGCCUCUUUGCGCAGGCGCUGGCGGCGGGGCGGUUGAGCCGGGUGGUGUUUGUGGAGCCGCUGGUGCUGGCGGGCGGCGCGGAGGUGGCGGCCUACGUGGCGGCGCGGGCGGCGCUGCUGCGGGCGGAGGCGGCGGGGCUGCCGGUGGAGGUGCUGCGGCUGCCCACGGGCGGGGCGCGCGGCCUGGGGCUGCGGGUGCUGGAAGACCUGUCCUAGCUACUGGCUUGAGAGUGUAACGGCGGUGCUGUGUGCGCGCGUGUGUUGCAUGAUCCUAAUGGACAAGGCCCGCCCAUCACGCGUCGGAAUUGCUUACUGAGGCAUGCGUGUGUUUGUGUGAGCGUGUGUGUAUUCGUGUGUGUCGUGGAAGAGGAUGGUGCGGGCCUGGGAUGCAGGUCCGAGUUGAUGGCUGUCAAGCAUCUGGAUGGAACGGUGGUUCUGGAGGCGCGUGAAGCAAAUGAACUAAGUGAACUCAAAUCAUGACGUUAUGCGACACGUGAUUUGAAGCAAGCAAUUGCCGACUGCUGCUGUGAGUGGCCAUGCGUGCUGUGUACGCGUGCGGGAUUGGCUGAUUGGCGGGGGUAAUUGUGGGUCGGGUUGUUCAUGCCUUUGAUGUGGUUUGGGGGGUGUCAAGGUAUGCGCCCAGUGCUUGUAGUUCCGAGCGCAAUGGCGCAGUGUGCACAGGUGUGUGUGUAUAGGCCAAGGCGGAGGCGUAGCAGGAGUCACGGCUGUUGUAUGCGCUAGGUCGAAUGCAACUCUGCCGGGUCUGCGCUGCUUGGCUGUCACUUGGCAUCGGGUUGGGACUACGAAGGAACAAGACGCAAAUGACGAAUGGGCACUGCAUGUAAUCGCGUGUUUGCGCAUUCUUAUUGGUGGAACUGGGUGUGGCAGAUUGGGCACACCCAGCUAGAACCUACCCAUACCUGGGGGGCAAUAGUUCUGCGUUUCCUAAUGGUUGGACUUGGCAAUCGUUUUGGCGGCGAGGGUGGCGAUCUAGAAACCAAUGUCACACGCAUCACAACGCAUGAACAGUAUGUAGCAUCCCUGAUGAGGACUGUGCAUGAGACGUUUGAGGAAGAUUGGGAGAACAGUAGAUCCGCGUGACUGAGUGUCCCAAGACGGUGUCAAGCCAGGAGUGAAGAUGUGUCGUUACAACUUACAAGCACUGGAUGAGCAAGACGCGGCACACGCAGGUCUACAUAGUUCGAGCACGGCAUGUCUCCAUGUUGCGUUUUCGAAUAAUCGUUUGGAUGCUUGCCACGCAAUACACGGUGUGUGUGAAAGCUGCGAUGGCGAGUGACAGUCGAUACCGCAAUCCCCACGCCUGCAUUGACAUCGGCGCAGCCUCUUGCGCCCAUAACUCACUUCUUCUCUUAAAUGUCUUCAUACGCGUCGCACUCAACCUCACCAGAGGGGGCCAUCUCCGUAUCAUAGCGUGUCAUACACACGGGUAAGGCUGCGACAUAAACGACUUGACGGUGCAAUCAAUCUAGGGUUACCACAUGUUUUAUUUUGUUUUGUACAACGAGUGUAGCGGUCUGUGAGCUGGUCAGACCAAUCUACAAGCAUGAACUGUCAAUCAUCGUUCAUGGAUUCCUCAUUAUCAACAGCUAAGUCAGUACAACUUCGUGACGCUUGACUGCGUUUUCGUGGGGCUCGGAAAACUCUGCAAGUUCGACAAUGCCUUUGACGUCAGCACUCUUCUCUUGACCUAGCUGGCUCCCUAUGACUCAAUCUGCCUGCGAUUGAGUGCAUAUAUAGAGGCAGGGAUGCAAGUCAGCAGUGGCGCCUGGGCGGCAUCGGUUGGUGAGUCCUCAACAUCAUAAACUCGAUUGGUGCUGAGUCGUUUCGGUGUAUUGGUUCACAAGCUUGAUGCUGAAGCCGGGCACGGGCAUGGGCGCGGGCGUAGCGCCGGCGCAGCGCGGGCGCGGGCGGGCACUGCUGCGAAUCCCUGCGCGCGGGCAGGCGCGCCGGGGCGAAUCCCAGCGCGGGCGCGGGCGCGGCGCUUCGCAAGCGUCUGUCUACCGCCAAAGCCGAGCCUGCCACCACAGGUCAUCGCAACUCUGGGGCCAAAAAGUCUCCAGAAGCUCACUUUGGACCCGCGGGCCUCGUGCACUAAAACCUUCGCCCCCACAUGUAUUUGCACCGCCACCGCAGGAGCGCGCGGGCAUGGGCAGACACGGGCAGGUGAGUCGUGCCGGCCGCUAGCUGCUGGGGCCGCCGGCCGCUCCCAGCGGCUGCUCCCAGCAGUGCCUCCAGCGGCCGCUCUAGCACUCGCCUUGUGGCCGCAGCAGUGGGCGGUGGCGGGUGUGAGGUCGCGGCUUGCGCUGUCCGUUGCGGGUCUUGAUUGCUUCGUUCUGGAAAGAGUGCUCCUGCUCCGUUGACUCCUUCAAACCCAACGCAGGCAUGUGCGCGCGUGGGCCUGUGGGGCCUGCGCUGCCACCGCUUCGUGUGUCGCCAGGUGUGAGGAUGGUGCCAUCGGGCCCUAAGCUGCCCACGCAUUCCACACAGCCCACAUCUAGUUCGCGCUCAAUGCUGAUUUGAAUUCGAGGGGAACGGGCAGCCUGGCUGUGCUGAUCUUUUCAUCUGUGUAGGUCCCCCAAAGAACACCUGCCACACCGAAGCAUGCGGACCCUGACUUCUGCACCCGCCGUUGCUCUUGCGCGCUGCGCUACAAGCACUCGCGGCUCCCUUGAUGCCUUGAGUUCGGCACAAGUUAUUGCUCACACUGCUUUCCCCGCCCCGCCCACAAACCCUGUAGCUGGCAAUGGAGCUGCUGCUCGCAUCCGAGGCCGCCCGCUGCAGCCCACAGCAGCACUAGCGGCUGCUGCAGCGGCACCUCAUACUGCUGUUCGACCGCGAGGCGCCCGCCAACCACGUCCAGGUAUGUAUGCCGCGUGUACGCUCAGUACGCUCACAUGAUUCGAGGAGUGGAAACGGGAGUGGAACCAGGGAGCAACGUGUGGAACGCUAGUGUGCGUGGCAUGCGUAGUGUGCAUGCAGCAGGGGUUGUGCGCACGAGGUGGCGAGAUAGCGUCCGUACAUACCAUUGGAGCGAGUGAGGUUGCGUGCAACUAAUGCAACAGGUCUGCAGUAACUGCACAGCUUACACAGCUCCCCACGCAGUGUCAGCCCACUCUAGCCAUGUUGGUUGUCGAAACAAUCUAGCGUGCCAUACAUGCAUACAUCGGGCCGGCAUCACUUGAGGUAGUUGCAGGGCGGGAAUGAAGCUUGAGCGCUUGCUUACCAGACAAACUGAUGGCCACAAUGGGCCUUCAAGACAUUGAUUAAAAAGCUCUAUCUAAUGGUUUGAGCUGAGCCCCUGGAGCGGAGCGACUCCCGGGGGCCAAAGCCCUCCAGGAUCACUCACCCCUGUCCGUCCGCACGUCCUUGCGUGCGUGCGUGCGUGCGUGCGUGCGUGAAAGCUUCAGCCUCACAUGAUGAUCAUUUGCUCACUGCUGCAUGCUUUGCGAUUGAUUAUAUGCAAGAUUUAAAGAUCGGUUUUCUUGCUCACGGUUGCUCAAGGCGCGAGGCUGGGGCCUGGUACCCGCGAAAGUCCCUCAAAACGCAAAGCACCUACAUUAUUCGCGCGUCCACGUGCCGCCACUAACUGCUGCUGGCCCGGGAUCAGGCAAAUAUGCGGUGGGGAUGCAUGGCCCUCUGUUAUAACUCCGCCGUCCUUGCACGCUGGGGCCACGCCGCAGCCCUAGCGCCUAGGGUUGCGGCCAUGUCUGCCCUGCAGCUCCACCGUCUGCUGCAGGUAGGAUCUCCAUGCAAGCCGGCAACACACCAACCUUCGAAAAUACACCAAGCGGGGUGGGUGGGCGGGAGACACAAGAACGCGCUGGUCUGGAGGUCUGCCUAUGCUUGCUCAGCAUCAGCAAGCAAGAGAGACCAAAUAAAGAUAGAUAGACGCCAACGCAAAAGCUGAGUGAUCCAAAAGCCCACACCGACACACCUCCUGCACAAACGCACCGGCCUUCAGGCCCCUGACACAUACCUUUGACACAUUGACAUCCCCCGCGUCUCCUUUCCUGCAGUCGCCUCUUCCUUAGAUGUCCUUAUUUAUAUCGAGACGAGGACAUCCUGAUCUAUCUAACAUAGCAAAGGGCGCGUACCACGAUGCCGUUACUUACGCCAUCCACGCGCACACGCCGCAAUGCGACAACCUACCCCGCUGCUCUGCUGAUCUAUGUUUGCUUUAGCUCCGCCAGCAGGCCAUCAAAGCACGUGCCGGGCUGCGCCAUUCCGACCUGGUGGUGAUGGUAGCGGUGGCGGCGCAGCUGCGGAUGAUCGGCGUGCUGCUGGUGACGCCGCCUCCCAAACGAACGCCGCUGCCGCCGACCAAGAGCGCGAGGCUGCCACUUCGGCCGCGGCGGCUCCACCAGCGCAGGCGGCAACUGCGGCGGAGGCGACGCCAGCAGCGCAGGCGGCACAGUCCGCCACUGCGCCGGAGGCGACGCCAGCAGCGCAGGCGGCACCGUCCGCCACUGCGCCGGAGGCGACGCCAACAGCGCAGGUGGCACAGUCCGCCACUGCACCGGUGGCGGCGCCAGCAGCGCAGGCGGCACAGUCCGCCACUGCACCGGAGGCGACGCCAGCAGCGCAGGCGGCACAGUCCGCCACUGCGCCGGCGGCGACGCCAGCAGCGCAGGCGUCACAGGCUGCGAUUGCGCCGGUGGCCGCGCCAGCAGCGCAGGCGGCACAGGCCGCCACUGCACCGGAGGCGACGCCAGCAGCGCAGGCGGCACAGGCCGCCACUGCACCGGAGGCCGCGCCAGCAGCGCAGGCGGCACAGGCCGCCACUGCACCGGAGGCGACGCCAACGGCGCAGGCGGCACAGUCCGCCACUGCACCGGAGGCGACGCCAGCAGCGCAGGCGGCACAGUCCGCCACUGCGCCGGCGGCGACGCCAGCAGCGCAGGCGUCACAGGCUGCGAUUGCGCCUGUGGCGGCGCCAGCAGCGCAGGCGGCACAGGCCGCCACUGCACCGGAGGCGACGCCAGCAGCGCAGGCGGCACAGGCCGCCACUGCACCGGAGGCGGCGCCAGCAGCGCAGGCGGCACAGUCCGCCACUGCACCGGAGGCGACGCCAACAGCGCAGGUGGCACAGUCCGCCACUGCACCGGAGGCGACGCCAGCAGCACAGGCAGCACAGGCCGCCACUGCACCGGAGGCGACGCCAACAGCAGCGCAGGCGGCACAGGCUGCGAUUGCGCCGGUGGCGGCGCCAGCAGCGCAGGCGGCACAGUCCGCCACUGCACCGGAGGCGACGCCAGCAGCGCAGGCGGCACAGUCCGCCACUGCGCCGGCGGCGACGCCAGCAGCGCAGGCGUCACAGGCUGCGAUUGCGCCGGUGGCCGCGCCAGCAGCGCAGGCGGCACAGGCCGCCACUGCACCGGAGGCGACGCCAGCAGCGCAGGCGGCACAGGCCGCCACUGCACCGGAGGCCGCGCCAGCAGCGCAGGCGGCGCAGGCCAUCCGUGGUCAGCAGGUGUGUGUUUGGGGAGAUAUUGGAUUCAGUGGUUCUUUGAAGAUGACUGUAUGUGUGCGUGCGCGUGCGCGUGCGUGUGCCUGUGUGAAUGUGCGCGCGCGUGUGAGUGUGCACGCGUGUGUGUGCGCGUAUGAGUGCGCGCGUGUGCGCGCGCGUGUGUGCAUGUGUGUAUUGCGUGCGCGUGUGUGCGUGUGCGCUCGCGUGUGUGCGUGUGUGCGCGCGUGUGCGUGUGCGAGCGCGCGUGUUUGCAUGUGUGCGCAUGUGCAUUUGCCCGCGCACGUGUGUGCGUGCGUGUGCGCGUGCGCAUGGAAUGCGGAGAUGUGUGUAGGGGGGAUUGUAUUCCCGAGCCCAACGAGUAAGUCCCAUCAUCAGCAGAAACCCCACCCAGCCACGGAAAUGCGAGGCGAGCGCGCUAGUAAUGACCUUCAUCCCGGUCAUGUGGUGGUGGUGGGCGGUACCUGGCGGAGGGCAGGUCCAGCGGGGCACCAGCUCCGCAUAUCGCCACCCAGGCUCGGCACACGUCACAGAAUUUACUAUGCGGCAACCCACUCACUCGUAUGCUUACCUAUGCAUUAGCACGGAAUCCCGGGCGCCAGGCAUCCACGAGCGCCAGGAUCACAGCGAGCGCCAGAGCGAGGUCCGGUCUAGGAAUUGCGGCGUGACAUGUAGGCGGGCACUGUAGAUAGGCAGGACAUUGAGCGGCGGACGGGAGGCCGUUGACGUUGAGGAAAAGGCAAGAGAUGGAAGAACGAGGAGCAUGGGUGGCGAAGAGAGAGAGGGAACGGAUGGCCAGGGCGACUAUCAGCAAGGGGCGAGGCGGAUGGGGGCGGGAUGGGCGCGGUUGGGGGCAGGAUGGCGGUAGGAAGUAAGGGGGCAUGGCGGGCGGGGGACUCAAAACGAACGUGUGGGCAGGUAGGGAAGGAAGGGCGUUGGCAGUGUGCGGGCCGCGGACGGCUCCCCACUCCAUUGCCAUCACAGACGCUCGCAAAGAAGAGCGGGCAUACGUAAGGGGGGAUGAUGGGGCUGGCACGGGCGUAAGUGGCAUGCAGGGGGUUAAAAUGUAUGACGAAUGGUCUGGGAGGGGGAAGGUAGGGUAACGCGAGCGAGUGAUGGAGGGAGGGGAGGGGAAACGGGUAUACGGCUAAGCCGCCACACGUGUAUGUUAACGAAAUAAAACGCCGUGGAUGACGUCAGGAACAGCACGCCGGGAACUCGUACGGGGGGGUACAGCUGCAGCAACAGCAGCAGCAGAGCGGCCAUACUGGGGUUGCAGUUGAACCGGUGGUGGAAGGCGUUCACAGGGGGCAGACCAGCAGCUUGUUAACGUGAACCUCGUCUAUGCCGUGAACCCCAGUGCAGCAUGCGCCAUACAUACAAUCAGGUGGCCUCCGAAUAGGUAGCUAGGGCAAGCUGCCCAUCUACAUACUUCACCAACUGCACUGCCGCUCGCGCGCGUGUGAAAGCGUCCGGUCGUUUGAUGCCAGCCUCUAUGCAUGGCUGGUGUGUGAUAAUGUGUUGCAGGACACGCGGACAGCAGGGGGCGUGCAGCCGGCUUCUGCGCAGGCUGACAUCACCGGGCUGGUGCAGGCCAUGGCGCAGGCCAUGGCGCAGGCCUUGGCGCCGCUGAUUGACAAGAUGGACGAGCGGGAGUGGCAGGCGCAGGAGCGGGAGCAGGAGCGGGAGAAGCAGGCGCAGGAGCGGGAGCAGGAGCGGGAGAAGCAAGCGCAGGAGCGGCACAGACAGGUGCUCCGCAGCCUUGGGGAGCUGAGCGAAACCGUGUCUGCAACGCUGGUGGUGGCAGUGGUGGUGGCGGCAGCAUUGAGGCCAUCUCUGCGCCUGCAACACAGCUGGAGCUGGACGGCCUGACCGUGCAGCUGAAGAACGCCACGCUGCGGGUGGUGAUGCUGGGGGCCAUGUCCAGCAGAGGAAGUGAGUUCAUUUGCAGGGUGUGGAGGGAUGAGGGACUGGGGGACUGGGGGUGAGGACGCGGGCGGAUGGGUCGCGCGCGCGUGUAAUUAAACAAGUGUUUAUGUAACGCUGCUGCUUGCUUCAACUCUUUAAUGUACAAUUGCUGGAUUUCUAAGAAAGAUAACCUUUCCGCAACGCUCACAGCCUCCCACCCACCCAACGUCCCUCGCCGUCUGUAGACCUGCCGAUGGCGAGAAAGCAGCUGCAGUGCGCUGGGACCCUCCUGGCGCACGUCUUCGACGUCGCGGUGGCUGCUGGCGCCUUCGGAGGCCAGCCGCCACAGCUGCUGCUGGAGGGCCGCGUUGCGCUGGGGCGGCGGGGCGGGCUGCCGCCGCCCAAUGAGCAGAGCGUGCAGCUGGUGCCGGCGGAGGUGCAGCAGCACACCAUGGUUGGGAUGGUGACGGGGCUGAACGGCCGCCUAUCAUGUUGUCGCCGCGGCUGCUACAUAUCUAGAAGGGGCGGCCGUUCAGCCCCGUCACCAUCUCAACCAUGGUGUGCUGCUGCCCCUCCGCCGGCAUCAGCUGCACUCUCUGCUCAUUGGGCGGCGUACGGACACACAGACGAGGGGGGGUGGGGUCGUAAGUAAGCAGGGAAGACGCAGACUGGACGAGGGGGCAUGAUGUAGUGGACACUCGCAGGCGCAUUCGCACACACCCCCAUGGCAUGUGAGACGGAUACGCGAGAAGGCAGUGGGCGGCUGGACGGCUGAACGGUAGCACACGCCCCCAUGUACUUUGCUGCAGCACACGCACUUGAGACACAAUGGGGCAGCGGUAGUAGCGGUAGCCGCAGCGGGGCAUUGCCCACGCUGCCAAGCCACCUGACUCAGUGUCAAUGAAUGAACGUGCAUGUAAUUGCGAUACGGCGCGUUCUCCUAGCUCUCGUUAGAGAUUCUGAGACUUGGGGCCGCGGAGGGGUCAAGCCAUAAAGGACGCGGAUAAGGGCGGCAGUGUAGCUAGGCUAGAGGGUGGGCCCGGGGCUCUCGGGACUGAAUCUCUGUGAACCGGAACCGGGCAUCCUAGUGGCCAGGGCUCGUAUCUUCCUGGGGGCGGCAAUAAUCAUACGGCGCCCCUGGGCCCAAAAUGUGCCGUUUGAUGGGGUGUUGGGAGCUCCAUCCCCCAAAAACCCUCGAAAACCAGCCCCAUCGUCCCCCGCCGGCCUCGCCCAGUCGCCCUCGCGACCCUCCCCACGGUAUGUGUGUGCAAACUGCUACUCGUGCCAAAAGCUACGAAGGUAAAGGUACGCACUGUGCAGCACUGUGCGCGUGUUAGGCUCAACUGGACUGCGGGAUGCGCCUGAGGGAUGACAAUGCCCGGCCUUACGGCCUAACGACUUUUACCGGUUAGCCUGAUUUGAGUGUAACGGAGCGAAGUGUAGCGGAGCGAGAUUAAGGCCAAACGGAGUUAGCAUGGAGGCCGUACAAGACGGCAAAAGCAUUUGGUCUCCCUUUGAGCCUCCCGGCUCGCCCCCGCCCCAGGUGUCCUUGGCCUCUGGAGCCGCGGCCCUCACUUGCGCGAGUCGCGUGUGGCGGCGGCGCUCCUCGCGCCGCCCCCACCUGGUGGCUUCGCUCUCACGGAGCUGGGGAGCCGGCGGCGCGGCGGUUUCUGUGGCUCUAGUUUUGCAGUUGCGUGUCCGUUGGGGCUCCGGCGUAGGGGGCAGGGUCUGGUGGGUUGCCACCACUGCUGCGCCGCGUUUCUUUUUGUUUGUUAUUGGGAUGGGGACUUUAGCAGCGCUCCAGGCUGCCCGGGUGUUUUCGGUUGCGUCAGGAUUCCAGGUUUUUUCCCUGCGGCGUUAGGAGUUGCUUUCAGGUUGCUUUCUUGUUGCGGGAACCCUGGCCGAGGCCCCGGGAAGUCGUGUGCGUGCCGUGUGCGUGUCUGCGCCGUGCGGGGGUUGCCCGCCGUGCGCCGCCCGCCGCCCUGCAUGCGGCGUCGGCUCGUCUGAUGGGGGACAUCGUGCGUUGUUGUUUGUUGGCCGCCGACGUUCCGGUUCCGGUGUUCACUGCUUUUCGGUUCGCGCUGCACUCGCGCGCGCGCGUUGGUUUGGCGGUGGCUGUGCUGCGGCGUGCGCUGGGUGCGCCUUGCGCUCGCUUGCGGUUUUGAGCUGUCUGCAGUGUAAGUGCCCUUGGCUGUUCUUCCCGACUCCACCAGCCCUGUCCGGCCCUCGCUCCGUCAGCUCAGCUCAGACGAGUCUCUUACAGCGGAGGCGGCCGUCUAUGCCGACAGCUAACGCUGGUGCCCGCGCCCAUGGCCCCACGCUCGCCCCUUGCGCCUUGCGCACGGCCUCGCCCGCGCUUAAAGCGCCAGUGGAGCGCCCAGGCCCGUCCCGGCUCAGUCGGGUAGGCUGGAGCAUACAGACAUGCAGACAGGUGAACGGCAUGCACGGUGACAUGGCGGCUUCCCUCCAGGCGCUACUUGGUCAGUGUCAGCACCCCAAAAGGCAACCCUACAACCUGCUGCAUCGGGAUGAACGAAGCGAGGAGCGAGAGUUGGGCAGGGUAUUCAACGGCCCACGUCCAGUGUCAGCCCAUGCCCUGUCGGUGCGAAGACCUCGACGCAGAAAGGCUGGAACAAAAGCCAUCCAGCAAGGCCGUGUGCGUGAGGCCGUGUGCCUCUGUAGUAUAUCUGGGGUACGCAGAAGGGCAAGGGAUGAAGGGAACAUGGCCGUUCUUCUUUCGAAGGAUCCAACAAGAAGUUUGAAUCCGUCUGGGUCAUGUCCCACCUGCUUCUGCUGAAGUUGUCUCCUUCUUAUUGAACGCCUUACUACCUGAGCAACGUCUUAUUGCACGACCGGCGCAACCCUCCACCUCUCGCGUCGUCUCGCUUGCGUGACAGAGGCUUGACAACUUGUCUUUUUCCUGGUCCCAUGGGAGACUGACCUUCACAAGGCAAUACCUAUGAUGUACCUAUAAGGCAGCUGACUCUUGAGUCCGCGUUAGCCCCACGCAAACUUUGAGCGCGCGACGGGGAUCGUUGUCUUGGCCGGGUCGCUUCACCAGCGUAGACGAAAAUGCGGCGGCGUCAAGGCCAGCUGCAUCCAUGGGGUUUUCUGCUGCGGCAGCGCGAUGGUAGGGCACCUCAAAGUUCGAAGCGUGGGUAGGACCUCCUCGACUGCAAGUGCAAGCGAAACGACUGAGGCGCUUUUUAUUCAAACUCUUGGGGACCUUGUUUUCCCUUUCUCAUUUAGAGCUUGCAGAGCCAUACAAAGUUGUUUGCGCAACGCAGGCGGGCUCGCCGCGCCACCCGUGGCGUUAGUCCACGACCACGUCGCGUUAGGUCGCGGCACGGCGCCUCCCCCGGGCGCGGCACAUGCCGUUGCGGGCAUGCAGCAGUGCCCCCUCCAGUUCAUUACUAUCGACGAUGAGCGCGUGAGCCGCCUGCACGCCGCGCUCACAGUGCACUGCAACAGCAGCCGGUGGCCGCCGCUGGUGACUGUGGAGGUGCGUGCGGCGGGGCCAGGGCCGGGGGACUUGUAGGGCUGUCGUGGGUCGCACCAUGGAGGCCCUUGUCCGCAGGUGCUACCAAUGUCAGAUUGACACCGGCGUAACACACUCUCUGCCACGCAAUCCACUCCGUUGUCCAUUGAACCCCUUGCUCCCGAACUCUUAAAAGCCCGCCCUUUAAUGCUCCACUCCACCCCACUCCUGGCCAAACUGUGCAGGACCGCAGCCGCAACGGUACCUACCUCAACGGCUCGCCGCUGCGCCCCGGCGCCCCCGCCGUCCUGUCCAGCGGCGACGUGCUGUCGCUGGUGCUGUGCGUCAACCCCCUCACGCAGCUGUGCUUCGUGUUUGAGGAGUGCCCCGUGCCGCCGCCCAACUGGACACGAGCCGCCAACGCCCAAGAAGGCGCCGGCUCAUCAGCGCAGAGCGGCAACACUGCUGUCCGGCGACCAACCGCCACCGGCGGUGAUGCGCUGGGAGCAGGCGGAGCAGCAGGAGCAGCGGCAGGGGCAGCUCCCUAUCCGGUACUGCCAGUCGGCCUGCCUCGCGCCAGCGGCAACCUGAACGCGGCCCUGAGCGCUGCAGCUGUUGCUGCUGCGCUGGCGGCCGGCCGUGGCACGUCGCGCAACAGCCGCGGCCACCGCGCCGGCCGCAGCAACCGGUCUCCCGCCGCCGCCGCCACGUCGACUGCUGGCACCGAGACGCUGGGGCUGGUGGACCCGCUGGCGGCGGCGGCGCCGCACCGGCUGAGCGGCACGGGCUUCUCUGAGGGCGGCGUGGAGCAGUGGCCGUCGGGAGCUGGGCCGCGCGAGGUGACCAGCCCCCAGCCGUCGCUGCCGCCGGCCUCGCUGCCGCAGUCGCCCGACCGCCGCCGUAUCACACGGUGGGUGGGGUACUUGCAUCUUGUACGGUUACAGGUUCCGUUGGCAGGUUUAACAACUGGCAAGCGUGUUAGACAGCAACAAACGGUGUCUGCAAUCGAUUCGCCGGUCCUGCGCUGCGUCUGUAAGGUCACCCAGACCGCAUACACCCAUCCCUUCGCGACGCAGGCAGUCCACGGGCAGUGGUGUGCCUCGCUCGCUGUCGCCUGACAGCAGUCCCACCUCGGUGGUGGGCGAGUCGGCACAUGGCUUCCCCCUGGAAGGCGGCGGCGGGCGGCGCCACAGCGUCCCGGUCGGCGGUGCCUCCUGGGACCGGCACGACGACCACUGGCCGGAGCCGCACAGCCCCACUGCCACUCCCCGCUCGCGCGUGCACAAUCACACCGUUGCGCAGGUGAGUGCGAUGGUGUGUGCUGUGCACGGCAAUCGUGCCGGAGCCCUACAUGGGGAGAAAGGGUUUGUCAUGCAGGCUUGUCGGCACACCGGCAGCCUGUUGCGCGGCCUCGCAGCCUCGCUGAUCCCUGCCGUCCGGCGAGCUUGCUAGCAACACCACCAGCCAGCUCUCAACUGCCAACCGCCACCUGUCCCCACUGGCCCCACAGGUCCUGGCGGCGCUGCACCCCAACCCGCUGUACGCCGACCACCUCACCGCGCUGGAGCUAGCGCCCGGCACGGCGCCGCCCGCCUCGCCGCCGCGCAGCCCCCGCUCGACGCCCCUGCGUGCGCCCGUCACUGGCGCCGCCGCCCGCGCCAGCCGCCCCAGCCGCCGCAGCACCGGCAGCGGCAUGGCCGCGGCUGACGGCCACCACCAGCGGCACCAGCGGCACCGCCGCUCCCGGACAGCGCACCUGGGAGCUCACCUGCUUGCCUUCGCCGCAGCGGGCGUGGCCGCGCCGGCGGACUCGGCGGUGUCUGCGGCUCGCGGCGGCAUUUCGCUGAGCCGCUCGCUCCCCCAACUGCUCCCCGUCGAUUUGGUCGGCAACCACCAGUUUCACGAGCUGCGGCUGCAGCAGCACUCGUCCGCCCAAGCCGGCGGCUACAUGUCGGCUGCGGCGGUGCCCUCGCUGUCGUCAGUGUCCGACUCCACACCUGCCUACGCCGGCUGGCCCGUCCAUGGCCUGGCCGGCAGCGGAGGCAGUGCCCCCGCUACCAGCGCCGCCACGAGCACGAGCAGCAGCAGCCGGCACAGCUUGCACAGCCCGCUUAGUCAGCCCAGCCUGCACAGCCGCUACCUACUGACCGGCGGCGCGGAGGCUGUGCUCAACAGCCCGCGGCGCCAGCGCUUCAGCACUGGCAGCGGCUUUGGACCGCCGCUGCCGGUGUUGCCGCCGCCGCCCUUGUCAUCGGCACCUUCGGCGUCAUCUGCGUUUGCAGAUCCGACCCAGGCCGAAGCCCUGGCCCAGGCCCAUCGCCGUCCGCGCGCUCUGUCCUACGGCUCUGGCAGCUUUGGCCUGGAGGAAGAGAACAGCGGUGGCGGCAGCGGCGGCAGCGGCACCCACACAGCCCUGGUUCCGAGGAUUUCAGCCCCCACGCUGGACGCGUUUGGGUCCGUGUCCGAUGCCCCCAUGCUGACACCGGCGCCGCCGUCUGCGCCCCUGCCAGCCUGCGGCUCCGGCUCCGGCUCUCCUCGUUCCGCCCCCGCCGCCGCCGCAGUCAUCGUGGGCGGCGGCCCAAGGUCCAGCCGCAGCUCGGCGUCGCGGCCGCAGUCCCGCCUGCUGCGCGUCAGCCGCCCCAACUCGCCGCUGCCUGGGUACGAGAACAGCGGUGGCGUGGGCUCAACCGGCUUCGCCGCUGCAUGGGCUGCAGGCGGCGCUGGUGCUGCUAGCUGCCGCGGCGGUGAUGUUGGUACCGCUGGUGCUGGUGCUGUGGAUGAGCUGGCGUAUGGCAUGGACAUGCAAGGGCAUGAGGGCGGAAACAACUGCGAGCUGCUGGCUCCGUUGCCAAGCUCGCCGCGCUUUGGGCCUGGAGGCCGCGGCGGCGCUGGGUCGUUGCCUGAUGCUGCAUCGGAGUUUGGCCAGGGUGCCAGUGGUGCAGGUUCUGGCGUGGCUGGGGCUGGAGUAGGGGGGACGGCGACCGCCGUGCCGCUGCGUCGGCUGUGCUCCGCAGCGGUGGCCGCGCUGGCGGCCGCCGCCGAGGCCACUGCGAGUGAGAGCGACACUCCCAGCGAGAUCACUUGCAAGGUAGGGACAAAGGGGUGCUGGCAGGCGUCGGUGUGGAGGUUUUGCGCCUUUGACCUGCGCUGCUGCCAUACAUGCCAUGCCAGUUCGGACGAAACCUUCGUCCGCUCCCAUGCAGGAGUAACCAACAAGUGCCCAAAUGCUCCUGCGCUACCUCGUGCACGCUUUUUGGCCCACAGGAGUUCUCCUUCUCCUCCCUGUCCCGUCCCACACUCUCCGCGCCCGCCGCCGCCAGCAGCCCGCCCGGUGCCAACCGCGACCCCUGCUGCAGCCCUUCAGUGCCGGCCAUCGCGCUCGAGCCCGCAGCCUCCGUCCCUACUGCCGCCGCCGCCUCUGUCAACCUUGAGGCUAGGCUGCACACCGCCGCAGCUGACGGCGGCAGCGGGGGCAGCCCGCGCUUCCUCCGCCGCACGGUCUCCGCGAACGACGGCCCGCAGGCACAGACCCUGCACAGGCAACAGCAGCUACAGCUUCAGCAGCAGCAGCACUUUGGUAAUGCCUCUGAUGCAUUUCUGGUGGCGGCGGCGGCGGCAGGAGCUCCUCCAACUCUCCGUGUGUCAGCGUCUUCCGUAAGGGCUGCUGCACCAGGCCCGCAGCGCAGCGUAAGCGCCGGCUCGCACGGAUGCAGUAGCAGAAGCGUGGCCAGCAGCGCGGACUGUGCUGCUGCCAGUGAGGUCAGCGGCGCCUACCCGGAGGGGCCGUGGCUCCAGCGGGGCGGCGUGGAGGCGGCGCUCCAGCACUCCCCACAAGCCGCAAUGGUGGCUGUAGCAGCCGCAGCAGCACAGCUGUACGGUGGCGGCGCCGCCACUGGUGGCGCCGCUAGCAGCCUGCCCACGGCCAGCCGCCAGCUACAGUGCCGCUGCAGCGGCACUGGCGGCGGUGGUGAGAGCAGCGGCAGCGGCACGGGGCUGAGUGACGCGUCCAUGCCCUCACCCAGGUGGGCUGGGGCACAUGGCGCUGGAGAGGACGGGGGCUCCAGCAGCACCCCCAGUAGCGGCCGCCCGCAGCGCCUGGCCGCAGGCCGCCACCCCAACCGCCGCCUCACGCGCUACGGCGAGUGCCUCGACACGCCCUCGCCGCGCAGCCCCGCCGUCACCAGCAGUAGCCAUGCUGGCGCCGGCGCCUCACCCUUCCGUCACGCAGACUCGUAUCGCCUGGCGGCACUCGCGGCUCUUGCCGCUGCCUCCCCGGCCGCCGCCAGCCCGGUGCCGGUGCCAGCGGCUGCGGCAGUAGCUGCAGCGGCUACCCAGGCGGCGCCGUCGUGGCCGUCACCGGCGCGCGCCACCCGGCCGCGCGGCGCCGCCUCCCCCGCCUGCCGCCGACUGCGGCUGGAGGGCGCUGAGCCGCACGACGCUGCGGCGCCGUCGCCUUGCUCUGGGGCAAGAAGCAGCCGCAGCUGGCUACAGCAUGAUCUCAGUGGCGGGGGCGCCGUGGCGGAACCGGCGCGCCCGCUGGCGCCUGGAGUGGUGACAUUGCCUGUAUAUGUGGCUCGCUCCGAGUCGGAGGGCUCGGCGUUGCGGUCCGCCGCGCCGCCACCGGCAUGGCCCCGCGCGCAGGCCGCUGCCGCCUGUCCCUCGCUGCCGUACACGCCGUCCUCGCUGGUGCGAUACCUGGACUCGCGCCUGGGCUCCCUGGCGGCGGCGGCGGAGGCGGCGGUGGCGGAGGCGGGUGAAGAGAUUGGCGCGCAGCUGGCGUCACUGGAGGCGGCUGCAGCUGUGGCUGCGGCUGGCGGUGCCGCGGGCGGCGGCGCACGCUCACAGUCGCGCUCAGCCGCGGCGCCGGGUCUAAAUUUGGAGCUAGGUUUGGAUCUGGACCUACCUGCGUUGCCGCCGGUUCCGAUGCCGACAGCCAUCGGCUUUGGCGGCGACGGCACUCUCGGCAACCGCCGCUUCAAUGCGGCUGCGCCCAGCUUCCGCGGCUACCAGUCACCGGAGGGGAUGCUGACGCGUGCCGGCGGCGGCGGUGAUGAGGCCCUGACGCCACGGAGUGGCCAUGGCAGUGUCUGUGGCAGCACCGGAGGCGCCGCCGCAGCUUCUUUUGAUGAGGCCCGCAGCUCUGGCGCCGGAGGCGACGGUGGCCGCAGCCCCGUCGGCAGCAGCGGCAGCUGCGCGCGUAGCUGCGUGGGCAACGCGGCUGCCGGUGGCGCAGCGUCGCGCUUGGCGCUUGGCCGCGCCUUGAGCACAAGCGCGACAGUGGGCUCGCCGCGCGCAGGCCGGCGUGCUCCGCUGGCAGCAGCCACGGACAGCGGCUGUGACCUGGACCACAGCCCGCCGCACAAGCCCAUCAACUCUACCUGCGCCACCCCGCGCAAGCAAAGCCCGCCGCACAAGCCCAUCACGUCCACCUGUGCCACGCCGCGGAAGCACACGCCGCGCGCUUCGUUCAGCCAAAGCCACUCCCAGGUAUUCCACGAGGACCAAGGCUGCGACCACCACCACCACGGCCACCACCGCCAGCUCUCCCGGGGCGGCGGGGACUGCCUGCUGCUGCACGACCAGGCCCAGGGACACAGCCGGACGGCUGCUGCAGCGGCGGCCUCAGUCACGGCCGCCAGGAGCGGCAGCAGCUCACAGGGCCUGCCCCUCCAGCCCUCGCCCUCAGGCCGCCCUCCCACCGCCGAGUCCGACACACUGCCGCUGCACGACGCCGGCAGCGGCAGCUGCGGCAACAGCAGCGGCGGCGGCUGGAGUGCGCAGGCCAGCAGCCGCGAGGGGUAUGCUUAUGCGUACGGCAGCGCCGGCUGGCCCGGCGAGCAGUGCUACCCGCCUGCUGCCCACUACCACUACCAGCAGCACCAGGACCGACAGGUGCUGCAGCUGCACAGCCGUCGGGUCAGCGGCGGCGCGGCCAGCACACUGGAGGCGCCGCCGCCGUCAGAGGUGGACGUGGCCAGGGCGAUGAGCACCGGCCGCGGCUGCGACAACGCCGAGGGCGAUGGCGGUCUCAGUGUCGGUAUGGGCCACGCAGGUUGGGGGCCACAGGCGCAGGCGGCGGCACAGCAGCAGCAGCAGCAGCAGCAGCGCCGUGUGUCAGGUGUUUCGCGUGGCAGCAGCAGCAGCUGUCGGCCCAGCACGAGCGGCAGCGGCUGUAGCAGCGAGUUCUGGGCGGCGGCGGUUGUGCCGGUGGACCAAUCCCCCGCUGCCGCCGCCGGUGCCCGCGGCGUGGUGCAGCUGGCAGUUGCGCCUGCGCUGUCGCGCUCGAGCCUGAGCCCCCUCAAGGUGGACGUGCGGCAGGAGGACGGCGUCCCAGGGGCGGAGGGGCCCGCCACCGGCAGGUGAGCGGCGUGUACAUGGCUAUGGUGUGCGCGUCCGUGUGCGUGUAUUUUCCUGCAGUUUGACUCGGGCUACCAGUGUUGCUUUGCUAACAUACAAUACGCACACCGCGUGCGCGCACAUGCACAGGCUGGCUGGGUCCCCAGGUAGCUCGCAGCUGGUGUGCGGCCUGUGUGCUGGCGGCUUGCGGGCUGCGGUGGCGCUGACGCCGUGCGGCCACUCCUUCUGCGCCGAGUGUCUGGCAGGGCACCUGGGGUCGGCAGUGCUGGGCGGAUCGCGCGUGGGCUGCCCCAACCGGUAGGAGUCGCUGCCGCCUUAGACCCCUACCCUCGUUUUGUGUCCGCUGUGGGGUCCGCGUGGAUACGCAGCGCAACAGCAGCGGGUCCCCGUGCAUGGAAGCUUACGUGUGUAUGCGUAGCCCCCGCUAUAUUGCCUCUGUUGAUUGCAAGCGGGCUCGGCGGCUUGGCAUGUCUGGUGGUCACACAGCUCACAUCACACUCACACCCUGUACCUGUGGCCUCACGCCCUCAACUCUUGCCCACAGGUGCCCUGCUUUUGAGGCGGUCGUCAUCAACCAUCCGGCCCGCCGCCUGGAAAGCAAGCGGUCCAACGCGACCACCGCUACAGCCGCCCCACGCUCCCACGCCCCCGCCCGUGCCCAGCCCGACGGUCAAUGUGAGUCAUCUCCCUUUGAAGCCCCGGCUGCGGCUGCCGCCGUCGCGGCGCACGCCGCCGCACGCGCAAGCGCCGCCUCGACGCCCGUGCGCGGUGCACGCGGCGGCUCUGACCCCGGGCCUGCCGCAUCACCCGCGCUGCGUGCGGCUGGUGGCGCCACCAGCAGGCUGCGCACGCGCAUGGGCAGCCGCGGCAGUGGCUACGGCCCCAGCCCCAGCCGGCGCCGGGAGGGGGCGGGCACGGGCAGCGAGCCAGGGGCGUGGUCGGAGAUGCUGGCGGACGCAGCACUGCCCGUGCCCGCCAUCCGCCUGCACCUGCAGCAGGUGUGUCCGGGUCUGUAUGUGUGUCUAUGUGCGUCGCGUAUCCACUUAAGCUUACUUUGGUGUGCUUGCUUUGAUAGACAGCGACAUGUUCAGGUCUAUUGGUCUUAAGUCCCUGCACUGCCGCUGCCGUGGAACCCCUGCCAACCGCCCCUCCUGCCGCCACCCCUACGGUACCUCCAACGGCUGCCACACCGCACACAGGGCGAGGUGCUGCUGCGCGCCCUCAGCCAGCUCCUGGACGACACGCCCCAGCUGCCGCCGCCCCCGCCGCCCUCCAUCCCCGCCGCCACAGCCACCACCACCACAACCAGCACCGCCGCAGCUGCUGCCGCCGCGGCAACCACCCAGGCGGCGACAGCAGCGGUGCGCGAGGCCCGUGCUGCGGUGGUGGAGUGGCGGCGUGUGGUGCUGGACGUGUUGGGCUGCCUGGGCCGCCUGGCACUGGAGCACGUGCGGGUGCGGGAGGCGCUUGGCGCGGCGGGCGCGUCCCAGGGCUGCGUGCUGGCGCUGCGGGCGGUGCAGGCGCAGAUGGCGGCGGCGGAGCUGUGCACCAAGGGCGGCGAGCGGAGUCUUGUCGACAAGGAUGGCAUUGUCAAGAAGCCAACAGUGGCGGAAGCCGAGAAGGAGGCAGAGGCUGCGCUGGUAGCGGAGGAGCGGGCGACGGCGCAGGACACCAGCCGCGCGGCGUGUGUGCUGCUGUGCCACCUGCUGAACCCACCGGCGCCGUCGCCGCCGGCCGAGACGGGUGCCACAGAUUCGGAGCAAGCGGUGUGCCGGCAGCAGUCCAACCAAUGGGCGCUGGCGCGCAUGGGCGGCGCAGAGGCCUUGCUGGCGCUGCUCCUGCCUGCGCAGGAGCCAGGCAAGGGGGCCACCGACGCUGGUGGCGAGGGCGCCGGUGGCAAUGGCAACGCGGAGCGGCGGCGGUGGUCAGGGCAGAUGGCGGCGGCGCUGACGGCGCUUCAGAGGAUGGUCGUGGGGAACAUCAUGACUCAGGUGCGUGCGGCGCGUUGAUGGGGAUGGGUGCACGUGUAGGCAGGCAGGAGUAGCUCCAAGGGCUCCGAUGUUGCAAAUCCCCCCAGCGACGGGUGGAUUGUCUGGCGUGUGCCCCCAACCGCCACUCACACACAUUCCAGUCCGCACGUACGUAGCUACUGCGGAGUGUAGCCAGACCCUUUCACAUGCAACGCCAUCCACCAUCAUUGUCACUCCCGCAGACCCACGUGGCCGAGUGUGGGUCUGCCGCCGUCAUCCGCACGCUGGCCGCCGCCACCCGCGCCGCCGCCGCCUCGGGCGAUGAGGCCGUACAGGCGGCGGCGCUGCGGCUGCUGGCUGACGUGGCCCGUGGCGGCGACGCCGCACACGCCGCAGUGCGGCAGAUGCUGCUAGAGGCCGGCGCACUGGGGGCGGCGCUGGCGGCGCUGCGCGACAGCGUGGCUGCUUUCGGCGGCUGCAAUGGAGGAAGAGAAGGAUCUGGGAAUAGCGGAUGCGCUGACGGCGGUAGCGCCGCCAGCUCGGGGAUGGAGGUCAGCCCGGUGCUGAUGGCGGCGCUGGACGCGAUUCAUGUGUUGAUGGGUCCGUCGGAGCAGCACGUGGUGAGCACUGGGGCUAUUGGGGAUCAGUUGAGAAGGAGUUGCCGGCUGCUCGCUCGCAUUGCCACUGUGGCGGUGGUGGCGUCGAAACAGUAUGCCCGCGUUGUCAAGGUAAACCUACUUAUGACGCCCCUCUGCCCCUGACACUAGUACUUGUUCCGAUGUAACGCGCUCCGUGGCUCUGCAGGACGGAUCUGAGCCGCCGCUGGCGCUUCAGGCGGUGGUGCGGCGGGAGUUGCGGCGGCUGGGCGCGCCGCGCCUGCUGGCGGACUGCGUGCGGGAGCUGCGGCUGCAACAGGAGGACGAGCAGGGCGAGGGCCGGGCCCAGGAGGAGUGGGAGCGGGCGAGCGGGCGCACGGGCCACAGCAGGCAUGCCCCUGAUGGUCGCGUGCUUCCCGGAGCAGUAGCAGGAGCAGGAGGGAAGCAGCCGCAUCCACGGCCCUGGGACGGGUCGCGGUCGCGGGAGGAGCGGGGUUCGGCGGGUGGCGAUUGCCUCGGGUGCAGCCCCGUGCUUCGGGCGAUGGCCGAGCUGCAGGCGCGCGUGUGUGCAGUAGCAGGUGGUACGGGCUGGGUGCGUUGUGUGGUGCAGAUGUUGGGCGCAAGUCCCGACGGAGUGGGGCAGGCUGGGCGUGGUGGCGUUGAUGGCGGUGGUGCGGCGAUGGCAGCGGUGGCGGCGCAUAGGGUGCAGUUGCGCCUUCUCGCGGUGGCAGCAGGUGGCGGGUUUGCGCUCGGUGCCGCGGUGACGGGGGCAGUGGCAGCGAUGUGGAUGGCUUGAUUUUGGGGUGGUGCUAGCAAGUGCGUUUGCGACUUUGGUGUGACAUUGCACCUUCAGGAGAAGGCAGGCAAGGGUUGAGGUGUAGGUUUGGCCGUUGUCCGGUUGGCAAGUGCUGGCCUGUUUGUUGAGCUGUUGACUUUAUAGUGGCUGUACCUUUGGGGGGUCGGCUUUGUUGAACACACGCCCACCACAUUGUUUGCGCAUCGGGACGCUAAGUUGGCGCAAGCCACGGUUGCCCACCCAAAAGCCGGCAGCUGGUAGGGCCAUGUGCAGCGUGGAAGUUGCUCUGCUGGUAGGGCCGUAUGCAGAUUUGAAAUAGCUCUGGUGUUGGCCGAGGAAGGCUGCGGAGGGGUCCAUGGGUGCGGCUGUGUUGGGGCAGGUGCUAGCCCGGGGGACUCCCCGUGGGGACUCCCUGGACAUGCCGCCGUGUGAAUGGUCAUUUGCAGGACAUUGGGUUGCGGGGCGUAGGGGAUUCUAGUAGAUGGAUGCAGGCAGGACAGCUCUGACAUUCAUCAAUUGAUGAUAGGCUGCAGGACGCAGUAUACGGCUGUACUUGCAUGUGUGUUGAGCCGAUGGGUUGUUGACGUCUCCUGAUGCGUUGGGUGGCUGGGUCGCCACGGAGCAAUUAGCGCCACGGGCCAAUCGUAAAGGUUACAUGUUUUGCUAGACAAAAUGAAUGAAGAGAAAACCAUUGUCAUUGGUAGGAAAACUUCUCCGUCGAGACCAAACUUCGCGCACGGGGUUCGGACCACGCCUAACCGGCCGGGUUUCGAUUUCAAUGCGCGCCUUGCGCAGCCGGACUGGCGCCGAGCAAGGCUCCACAUACUAGGUCUCAAGUUGGCCCAAGUUUCUAAUAUAAUGCCUGGCUUAACCCUGCCUUGCCAGGGCCGUUCCGCCCGGUGAAUAAUCGCGCCGGUUUGGUUUCUUGACAUUUUACAGUCGCUUCCGAGGCUAUCAGGACGCGCCAGCAAUAUAUAGGGAUAGUAAUUUUUGUGUUCGCAGCAAGAGCGCUCUUCGUUGCGCUUUCAGAGCGAGGCCCCGCGGUUUGCGUCAUGUGUUUCUCUUGCCGGAGGCACCUGAUACUGACUUAGUUUAUCCCUGCUAGCCAUUAAUCACUGGCAAAUGGCUAAGCCUUUGCCUGGCUCGGCAGUUGGCUUCUCAAUGCUCCAGCGACCAGCCUCUUUCAUAUUAAGGCAGAGGUGAACAGUACUGGAAAAGUACUGGAAUCAAGGCAAUGUCGGCCGAUGAGGCCGGCACUUACGAGGAGGAGCGUGGAGGGCCCGCGAAGCGGAGCGCAAGCGCACUCACGCUUGAGCUGCAGGUAAGCAGAGAAUACUACCAAACCUCCAAACUUCUAAGCCACGCCGGUUAGAUUAUUGCGACUUCGUUUUGGUAGUGUCAAAAUGGCCUUCGGUCCAUGAGUCGGAGCGUGAAGCGGGGCGUGUGGAGGCGCAAGCGGCUUGGGACGAUCAAGGCUACCUGCGCGGCGUCUGUGCAUGGACGACAGAGCUUUCGCGCCUGACUUCUCACGAGUACCAAACUUCGCCCUUCGUCUGACUUCGCCGUCCGGCAGGGGGGGAGGGUUGCAGUAGCGCCACGGCCCACAGACGCACAGACGCCCCGAGCCCCGAUGCGCUUGUAUCCUGCCAUCUCAUCGUUGCCUCUAGCCAGCAACACGGCCUCCUAUGCUGCACACCUUAUAGAAGUGCACGUGCCCUUGGUUUUCCCCCCUGCGCUGGCCCCUAUGCGCCGCAGACGCUGGGUCGAAUUGCACGGUCCUAUCCAAGCACCUGGCUGGCACCACUGCUCGUACUAAUGCUAUGCUGCGGACUCGGGGUUUUUGGCGUGCAGCGGAUGGCACAAGUCAGCAUUGACUGUGCAAAGGUGGGGGCUGGGAAGGCAAGGGACGUCUGGGAGGCUACGCCACAAAUAAGCGCCAUCUCAUUCCAGUCCCCUAGCUCUACACCAUACCAUCACAUGUGCGCUCCCUCAACCACCGGUAAUGCACGACAGGCCAAGGCUAGCUCCAUCGCCAGCACCACUGCCGCCGCGCUGGAGCAGCGCUUCUGGACGGCGGCGGUGCCGCUGCAGCUGCUGAGCUCGCUGGUCCGCUUCGCGCCGCAGUGGGACCAGGCGCAGCAGCUGUUCCUGGGCGUGGGCCCCUCGCUGCUGGCGCAGGACGCGACACAGGCCAUUGUGUGUCUGGAGCUGUCGCCGCAGGGCAUCACGCGCACCACAGUGCCGUACAUCCCAGCCAGGAUCGGCCACAACUUGCUGACGGGUGCGUGCUGACCCAGCGGGGGCGGGGGGGGGGACAGGGGCAAGGAAGCGCUGGGCAAAGGCAGAGCAAGGGCAGAGCCCAAGGGGCUGUGUGUCCGUGCGAACCGGCUGUGGCGCAUGGUGGGCUGCAACGCGCCAGCACCAGGGGCCAGAGUGGCUGUGUGGCUCGGGUCUGUCCACCUUGACGCGACGUCGCGCGCCUUUGCCUCUUCACACGCCUCUGCACUCCUGCCAUUCCUUCUACUCUAACCGUGCACCCACCUGACCUACCGUGCUGCCGUCCUGCCUUCCUGCCGUCCUGCCUUCCGCCGUCGCAGUCGCCUGGCCCACUGCGGACCAGCGCCCGUAUCUGUCCGCGGCGCAGGAGCGCAAGAUGGCGGUGAUGGGGCCCGUGACGAAGCCGGGCGGCGCGGUGGUGGCGUGGGUGGCGACGCCCGUGUUCGUGAACAGCAGUCGCGAGGAAGAGGUGUUUGGCAUCACCGGCAACCUGACCAACGGCGCUUGCGGCGCGCUGUGCGCUUACAACGCCACAGGGCAGGAGCGGUGGUGGGGCUUCGUGUCAGCGGCAAUGGGUGAGUGGGUUGCGAAGAAGAAUGUGUUGCAGGUAUACCGGUGAGGCCGUGUGGGGGCGAUAUGCUGCUGUAGGCGGUGUGCGAGCAGGCAGGCGUGCAGGGUGCUGACGUUUUGCUAGGGAGGGGACAACCGUGUUAUUGAUGGUCAUCCCAACGCACUAAGGUGUAUACUCUGGACCUGCACCCGCCCGACCCUUGUGCCGCCCAAUACCAACAGACGUCGCUGCGCUGACCCUAGGAAGGUGAGCGUGCGCAUGCGGCAGUCGCGACGCCGGCCAAGCCCUUGCAUCCUGUCCUUGCUCUGUCGUCCACACGUACGCAGGCAGUUAUACCUGCCCGAAUUCUGCCUGAAACCCCCACGCGCACACCGUAUCACGCACACGUGCCUUCACAGGGACUCGCCGCUCACACCGCUUGACGGCUUGGGCUACCACUACCGCCUGAUUGCACCCGUGGCGGCGGCGGACGGGCUUCAACACGUGGCCAGCUCGGGCGGUCCCGAGCUGUGUGACCCCGUGGUGUCGGCGGUGCAAAUCACACCCAGCACACAGGUGGGCGGGCGGCAUCAUCCGGCGUGCCUGUGUUUAGGCAGGGGAUUGCUGACGCGUAGGUUUUGGCGUCACCGGUGGCAGUCCCUACUGCGUUCACAGCAGGCGCCGCCGCCAGAUACUGCAAACCCUAUGCCCGGUAUCGCCCUAAUUGUCACGCGACCGCGCCGCUCCCCCGUCCCACCCUUCCAUCCAAUGUGGCGCAGUGGAUGUUGUACGUGGCGCCUGCGGACGGCAACUGGACGCCAGCCUGGUUCGGCGGCGUGGUGGCGGUGGUGGUGGUGAUGUCGGUGGUGGUUGCCGGGUUGCUGUUCGCGCUGCUCAUAUCCAGGUGGGCGACAGGGUGGGGCGCUUGAGGGCGCGGCGCGGGGUGGGCGGCUGCUUGCAUGGGAUUGCAUGCAGCACCUGACCAUGAAUGGAUGUAGCUACAGCUCCAGGGGGCCGCGGCCACGCAAGGCGAUGGUCCAAACAGCCAGGCGUGGAGUCUGUACCCUACACGUCCACCCUUUCAACCCGCACGACAUGAACUUACCGUAUGUGCACACCUAUGGACACAAAUACACACGCGCGCGCGUGCGCAGGCACAAGCAGCGCAUGCUUCUGGAGGCCCUGCUGCCCAAGCAGGUCAUCCAGGAAAUGCAGACUGACACCAAACACAUCACUGACAUGGCGGCUGCCCCGCGCCUCAACACCGCGGGUGGGUGCGACGGCGCCGUGCGGGGAUGGACAUUACAUUAGAACGCCCGGCCUCGCCCGGCUGCACACGCGGCAUGCGCCACGCUUCGUCACAGGCCCCCAUCCCACUGCUAACGCCGCCGCGCCUGCUGCCCAGUUCCCAGGCUCGCACGCCCUCUCGUCAUUGCAUCCCGAUUCGCUGUACGGGUGUUUGCACCCCCCACCACCUACACCACUCGACGCUUACAAGCACACGGCAUUGCACGGGUGCCCCCGCCCCACGCAGACACGCCCGCCGGCAUGCUGCUGCACCUGCUGGGGGGCCUUCUGGAGGGCCAGCCGCCCGACGUGCGGGAUGUGGUGUUCAUCCGCUCAGCGCUGCUGCGGAGCGCAGACCUGUACACACCCAUGGACCUGCGGACGCAGCUCAAGGGAGCCAACCUGGACGUGAGCGGUGCUGUGUGUGUGUGUGUGUGUUUGUGUGUGUGUGUGUGUGUGUGUGUGUGUGUGUGUGUGUGUGAGAGACUACGGUUUCCACGGUUAUUCUGCCAGAUCACGUGAAUCGUGUGUGUGUGUGUGUGUGUGUGUGUGACUGUGUGUGGCUUCGUGUGGCUGUGGCUGUGUGUGGCUGUGUGUGGCUGAGGCUGAGGCUCCACUGCGUUGCGGCUGUCGCUGUUGCUGCUGCGACAGGUGGAUGUGAUGCACGCGCUACUGCGGCAGUUGGGCGCCGCAGACGACCGCCGCCUCUUCUCCGCGGCCAGCCGUGCAGCCGCAGCCGCAGGCGGCGGCUCCGUGCGCCCCUACCCGCACCGCACGAGGCUCAGCCGCGCGGGCACCGCACUGGAUGCCGACACCACGCCCACCGGCCAUGUCCACGCGCACACGGGCAACGGAUUUGGCGGCUUCGCUGCCGCCCGCAUGAGCACUCGCCACAGUGUUGACGACACCGCCGCCACCUGCUCCUCCACCCGCUACUCCCAUGCGGGCGGCCACACCACCUGCACCAGCAGCACAGGCGAGGCCGCGUUCUCCCGCUUCAGUCGCUUCACUGACAGCGGCUGGAACGUCGUGGGCGCGGCGCCGACUGUGCCAAGCGGCACGGCUGGUGGCGGCGGUACGGGCACGGCUGGCGGCGGUGGUGGCACGGGCGUGGAUGCCGUUGGGCUCGUUGGUGUGCCGCGCACCACCUUUGACACGCUCACCGGCGCGCUGGCCGUCCUGCUGGCUCCAUCUCCGAUGCUGUUUCCGCCAGCUUCCUCCGCUGUGCAGGGGGAGGUGUUUCUGCCGCACGUGACCAGCUGCCACCCGCUCGCGCUGCACGAGGUAAGCGGCUGCUGGCCAGCCGGACCCGCGGCGGCGUCGACCCCGGCAGCGUUGACGGCGCUCUUGCCACUGCCGCCAGCCGCCCAACAGUUGGAGCCAUUCUCCUUCGGCGCGUCGGGCGGCGCUUCCCACUCCGUGCCGCUGCUGCCGCAGCCGCCGCGCAUGGCGGCGAGCCGGGCCUCGGCCAACGGGGCCUGCCCUUCCGGCGCACAUGAGGCGUUGCUGGCGGCGGCGGCGCUGCCGGAUGCAGGCGCCUGCCGUCCGCCGCCGCUGCUGCCGCCGAUGUCGACGUCGACAGCGGGCUACGCAGCCGGCCUGGCCAGCGCCGCCGGAGCCAUGGCAACGACGUCAUGCUCGCCACUCCCCUCCGGCGUGCUUAGCAUUCAGCCCACCUCCGCAGUGCUUCCCUCGGACCUCCUGCCACAUCUAAUGACGGCGGCGCAGGAGCUAGUAGACCGCGCGCUGGGCGGCGGCGGCAGCACAGGAGGCGCCGGCGCGGGCAGCAGCGGGGCGGUGGUGGUGGAAGGCAGCCGUGCGGGCAGCGCAGGUGUGCCGCUUGUGCGGUUUGGCAGCACCAGCCUCGGGCUCCGGGCGUCUACAGGGGCUGUGCCCUGCAGUGGUACCGGCGGCGGCGGGGCGGUCACGCCGUCUCAUGCGGGCCACGGUGCGCUUGGCAAGCCGCCUGGGCGCCGCGUGUCUGGCUCCCUGAUCGUGUUGGACGGCAUGCCCAGGAUGGGAGGUUUUGGCGGCGGUGUCGACAGCUUUAACAUGUCGCCGGCGCCCGCCGCCAGUCAGCGCAACACGCCCACCCUGGCCGCAGCCGCAGCAGCAGCAGCGGCAGCGGCCAACGCAGCUGCGGCGGCACCCGCCCCCAGCGCUGGUGGGGCAGUGGGCAGCAGCUGGAAGGGCCUGCUCAACCUGCUGGGCGUGGCGACAGGCGGCGCGGAGGGAAGCACGGGCGGCGGCGGCGGCAGCCGCCGGGCGAGCACAGGUGUGUUGGGUGUGGUCGGCGGCUCCGCCACCUCCACCAGCGCGCGGGCAGCUGAAGUACCCAUUCCCACAGCCGCGACGACAACAACUCUGUCUGCGUCUACGGCGGCUACUGCUGUCAUGAGCCGCUCCCAGCAUAGCACCGGCCCAGCGGCAGCGGCGACGGUGGCUGUGAGCUGCGGCGCGCAAGGCAACUUGCAGCCGCAGGCCUUGUGCGCCGCGAUGGGCGACGGCGCGGCAAUGUCUGGCGCCGCCGCGUCACCGUUCUCAUCCAGCCUGCAGCCGCUGGUGCAGGGCCAGCGGCCGAGCUCGCAGCCGCACGGCUUCCAGCAGCAGCAGCAGCAGCAGUCGGGCUCGCAGCAGCAGCGGCAGCUCACACAGGCGGGGCUGGCGGCGCGGCUGUCUGGCGGCGGCCGGACGCUGCUGCAACCGCCGGCAGACUUACAGAUGCCGCCGCCGCCCAUUCUUGAAGAGGUAGGGAAGGCGCAGACUUGCUGAGUGAAUGGAAGGCUGUAUCUGCAUGUAGUCGAUAGUCACCGUUCUAGCGAGCGCUUGCGUUUUGCUGGCUGGCUUGUUUAUCGAGCCCUUUUAGGCCCCCACCGUGGUGCAACUGUUGAAAACGUCACACACACACACACACACACAUACACUGUCUUUGCGCAACGUUUUCCUUGUGCUCUUUAACACACACACACACACACACACACACACACACACACACACACACACACACACACACACACACACACACACACACAUGCAACCUCAGGUGGAACGGGUGCUUGCGGGCGCCGACCGUUGGUACUUUGACGCAUGGAAGCUGGCGGAGGUGGCGCAGGCAAGUCGGCAGCCGCCGUCCUAUAGCCAGCCGGGACCACCGCCGUGACGUACGAUCCGCGCGCGGCCUCCACUUGAACCUGCUGCACACGCACCUGUUCUCAUGGCGUUGGGCUUACACGGCUUCCGCAUGAUCUGGCCAGCCAUUGCCGGCAGCUGAGUUGUGCUCGGCCGCCCUCCCGCACACCUCGCUGGUCACACGCACGCGUAGGGACAUGCGCUGAGCGCUCUGGGCUACUACCUCAUUCAACGGGAGGGGCUGAUUGACAAGUUCCGACUCAAGCCCGUCAUGCUGGCCAGGUAUGGCCGUACGAGCUAACGUUCUUGUGUGUGCCAACGCGAUGCCCUAUCAGGCUGAUGCAGUCGGAGGUGCUGGUCGGGCAGGGCCUCGUGGUGUUGUGUUGUGGUUGUGUCGGUGCCCUCUCGUGGCCUUGCCUUGACGGGGUGGCCUUACUUGUGCCGCGCCCGCUGCACAGGCUCUUGCGCACCAUCGAAUCCGGGUACAACCCAGACAACCCCUACCACAACGCCACGCACGCGGCCGACGUGCUGCAGACGCUGCACGUGAUCAUCCACGGCGCCGGGCUGCACGCAGGUGGGAGCGUGAGAAGCGCGUGCCACCGCGUUACGGAGUUCUGGUGCGCCCUGCGAACAAUCCAGUGCGGACGCUUUCUUGUCGCGUCGUUACGAUGAUCUGGGAGCCAAGCUACUCACUACGCAAUUGUCGACUUGUGUACCGUAUGUGUGUGUAGGCUACCUGGAUCGGCUAGGCCUGCUGGCCGCCUAUUUUGCGGCCAUGGUGCACGACCACGGCCACCCCGGCCUCACCAACGACUUCCUCAUCGCCACCGGGGACGUGCUGGCGGUGCGCUACAACGACAAGAGCCCGCUGGAGAACCACCACGCCGCCUCCGCCUUCGCGCUGCUGCAGCGACACGACCUGGACCUGCUGGGCCACCUGCCGCAGCAGGACCGCGCCGCCUUCCGGAAGCAGGUGCGCGUGGGGGUUGUAACUACCAGCCCAAACUGAACCAAACUAAGCCAAACUAGCGGAGCACAGGCAGCGGCGACAGGGUUAUGUAAGUGGUUGAGCGGUUGGGUGGGCGGUUGAGGUAGUUGGGAGGGUGGGCGUGGGUGUGGGUGCAUUGGUUGUGGGGAUAGCGGGCCAACAUCUUGGGCAGCUCCCGUUAAGGGGAUGCCGGAUGGUGUGUAUGGCACACAGCGUGCUGGGACACAGGAAGGGCGGGGUUAUGAGGCAGGCCCGGGGAGCAUGUGGUGGUAUUGAUUGAUCACGCUGUGCCUUCGUGACUGAUGGUGUUGCCGCAGGUGAUCGAGAUGGUCGUGGGCACGGACAUGAAGCAGCACUUCACCAUCCUGUCGCACUUCAACACCGCCCACCGCCUGCCCAGCUACGCGGCGCAGUCCGCCGCCGUGCCGGCGGGCAGCGGCGCCGCCAGCGCGGCGUCCACCCCCACGCGCGAAGGCCCGGAGCUCUCACCUCCCAGGUGUGACCCCUGCAUGCCCUCACUCACAGCACCAUCGCACUCCACUCUCGCCCUAUUUUUGCACACAGCCGCACGCAUACACUUGCACGCAUUCGCACAUACAGUUUCGAUCCCACCACCUUGUCCUUUCCUUAUAUACACGCACGCUCAAUCGCCCACACACAACAGUGAGCUGGCAUCGGGAGCCACAGCUGCCGCCGGGUCUCUGAGCGCCAGCCCCACCGCCGCCGUGUCCACCGCCCAGCCGCCACCUGGGUCGGCGCCGUCACCCUUGGACGAGGCGGAGCGGCUGCUGACUCUGCAGGUGGCGCUCAAGGCCGCGGACGUGGGACACCUGGGCGAGGAGCUGUGCGUGCAUGAGAGGUGCGCGAGGGGGAGGCGGGCGGUGGGCAGGCGGAGGGUGUGGGGCGGGAAGGAAGAGGAGGUGCAUGGGAGGGGCGCAGGGCGCAGGGCGCGUCAUGAUGCAUGCGACACACGGGCAGCGAUGACGGAAAGCUGAAGACACGUGAUGGUGGGUUGUGGUUGCAGGUGGUUGGGUGUGCUGGAGGAGGAGUUCUUCCGCCAGGGCGACAAGGAGAAAGCUCUGGGACUUCCAAUGAGUCCACUUUUCGACCGCGCCAAGCAGGGCGUCAGCAAGAGCCAAGUGGUGAGUGACACAUGCCACAUGCUACUGUCUAUCACAGAUUUCUAGGUGGUGAGUUAGCCACACCCAGCAGCCCACGCACUCAUCCACGUCCGCAACAUGACCAUGGUCUGGUUGUCAAGGUGGUGCGGGAACAUGUGUGACUACAAUCGAUCUACCUGUAUUAUUGUUAGUGGACGUGCUCAUGCACAUGCGCACACGCCUCCUAACACAACGCGCCUGCUGGCUAUCACAAACUUCCAUCUGCAGGGCUUCUACGACUUCGUAGCGCUGCCUCUGGUGCAUGCGCUGGCGAGCGCAUUCCCGGGUGCGCGGCCGUUGCUGACCGCGUUCCGACGUAACUACGGCCACUGGCGGGCGGUUGAGACAGCGGCCAGCAACUCUGGCAAGUAGUGACUCCCGCCGGGGUCGCAAGCAACCGGUUAGGAUCACGGCUGCCGCCUGGCGCUGGGGGCCAUUUCGUGAUGGUGGUGGGAUUCGGUUGUGUAGUCAACCGCUCUUUGGGUAUCUAGGGAUGAGGGAGGGUCGCAUUGCGCCAUCCGUGGCAGUGGGAUGCGGCAUUUGGUGCCUGAGGGCCAUGCGGGCGCCUUUGGGGAACUGCGGGGUUACUUCUAUUACUCACCAGUCCGCCUGUGAUUCGGGGUGUUUUGAUUUUAGGGUGAAGGGCGGCGUGCGUUGAAAGACGCACAGCAAUUCAGCCACCGCUGAUGCUGCCAGGUUGGCAACAUAAAAUACUAAUGGCAGCAUAAUGAACAAUGCAUUUGAAGUCCUCGACAGGAGAUUCUUCCACGCUUUCAAUGAGGGAUGGUUGUCAUGUGUAGUGGACGUGGCCAUGCAUGUGUUGAACAAAUUCUUUACAGUCGAUGCGCGUGUAUGCUUUGUCCCUGUUGGGUGCCCGCAUGGACGUGGACAUCACGAGUCAUGAGUCGAGGCAGAAGGCACGCAGUAUGUGCGGACGCGCAUGAGGAAGGAUGAAGAGCACGCAUUGCGCAUCGCUCGACUGAGAUUGAUGCCGCAGCCAAUGUUGAAACAUGCUGAACCUAAACAGACGGCGUCCCCAAUCAUGCCCUCUUGCGGUACUAGUGGAGGCAUGGGCCGUGCACGGUUGGUCCAGGGAUGGCGCAAAAAUGUGCAUGGCUUGUGGGUGGCAAUAGGCGGGGAGGGCAUGGUGCUUCACUGCCCCACUCUGUCCUUCAAUUGACGCGGGUCCACGGAAUGUAGCCGACUGCAAUGGGUACGCGGUGAUUGUGAGACUGCUGAUAGCAGCAUGGGUCUCUUCAUGACGGCGUGUGGCGCUGUUGUAUGUGGUGACGGGAAGCUGACGCUGGUGGGGUUUGGCUAUUGGUCGGGGCUGGGGCUGGGUGGCACGGCCCUUGCCUCGUGUGAUGCGCAGUGCUGAAGGGCAGGGUAGUAUGGACUGGGCAGGGGGUGGUAUGGACUGGGCAGGGGGUAGUAUGGACUGGGCAGGGGGUGGUAUGCGUAGUAUGCUGCACCGCACAUCAAAGCGCGUGGCAGCACGAAAGAGUUGUGAAAAGAGGCCAUGUGGGGUUCACCUCAACAGUUUUGAUCACAAGUCGCUCUGCACCGCUUGCCAAGGUGGUGGUGGUAGUGCGUUCCGCUUAUGCGUGGUGUCACGGGUGUAGAGGACCACUGAGCAGUGUGGUGAAAUAUGCACUGGUGUGCCCUGCAGGUGCGGGCAGCAGCUUGCUGCAGGGUGCACCUCCAGAACACCGUUUGGGCGGGCCGACGUGGGUGAGGUGUACCCUGGAUGCUGUAGGGCGUUGGCCUGAACGGCGCUUAGAACGCAACUGUACAGCAUGGCAGUGCCGCAACGGGUGAUGUGGGUACAAUGAUAAAUGUCAAUCAGUUAUGGGUGUUUGGUCGGUGCUAAUUGGCGUCCCUCGUAACGGCGCUGGUGACCAUGAAAGCCAGUGCGUUUGCUCCUUGCCUAGUUGCCUGCACUUGGUAGGCUACAAGCACGCCCGUGAACCCGUCCGUGUGCUCACUGUGGCUGCGCGGCAGGCGGCUGAGUAAAGCCUGAUGGGGGCUGAGGAGCACAUCUUGUGCCGUGCGUCAUGAGGAGUAGUACGAUAAACAGCUGAAUAACAUGGUGAAUGCCAGGAAGAUGGUGGGCCUGUGUGGUAAAGUCAUUGGAAUUGCCAGCUCGGGGAUGGAGGUCAGCCCGGUGCUGAUGGUGGCGCUGGAUGCGAUUCAUGUGCUGCUGGGGCCGUCGGAGCAGCGCGUGGUGAGCACUGGGGCUACCGUAUUGGGGAUCAGUUGAGAAGGAUGGGCGCGCGCUGCCGAUUGUUCACUCGCAUUGCCACUGUGGCGGUGGUGGCGUCAACAUAAUAUGCGCGCGUUGUCAAGGUAAACCUACCCCUCAGCCCCUGACACUAGCACUUGUUCCGAUGUAUCCGCUGCGUGGUUCUGCAGGACGGAUCUGAGCCGCCGCCGGCGCUGCAGGCGGUGGUGCGGCGGGAGUUGCGGCGGCUGGGCGCGCCGCGCCUGCUGGCGGACUGCGUGCGGGAGCUGCGGCUGCAACAGGCGGACGAGCAGGGCGAGGAGGGCCGGGCCCAGGAGGAGUGGGAGCGGGCGAGCGGGCGCACGGGCCACAGCGGGUAAUGGUCGCGUGCUUCCCGGAGCGGGAGCGGUGACGGGCUGUAACUAGCAGUGUCCUACCCCGCUGCGAAGCUGGGGCCCGCAGGUCCAUUGCUAGCUCCAACGCGACAGUCCCUGGCAGCAAGGACCUGACCAUUCCCAUCUCCAACUGCAGCGUGCCAGCCUCCUACGGCACGCGGUUAAUUUGCAUUUGUAGCUGAUCCUCAUAGCUAUGGUGCCGCAGGAGCCCAGGCGACAGGGUCACGGCCACCGCCGCCUGCCCCGCGAACACGUUCCACAACACAAAAGGCAACAUCACAGCAAGCCAAACCCUGUCCCCCGAAGUAACAGGAGAUGGGAGCUUGAAAGCCUGGGGCCGUGCCGUACGCACGCGUAGGCCCACGUUCUCGCCCACACAGCACGUCUGCUGGCUACCUCCAGAGAGCCAGCCGCAUGAUCACUACGACAUGAAUGUACCAGCAGCAGUUCGUUCCCGACCACCAUUCUUCUGCUGCCGCCGGCACAGGCCCCACACAUGAAUGCGCAACCCACUGACGCGCACUGGUACGGUACACACAGCCCCUGCGAUCCAGCCGCCUCCAGGCCAGCCGGCCCAUCCUCCUCGAACCAAUCACACCCGCAAUCGCACGGCAGUAGCAAGCACAUCUGGAGCUUUAGCCCCCGCCACCGCCCCCGCCACCGCCCCCGCCACCGCUGCGGCCGCCGCGCUGCAGCAGCGCUUACUGCUGCUCGCCGGCGGCGGCGCGGAUGACGUGGCGGUGGCUGGAGUCUGAGCCGCCGGUGGCGCCGCGGCGCACGGCAGCGGCCGCCGCCUCGGCCAGGCGGCUGGUGCCGGCGGCGGCGAGGUCGUCGGGGUCGUUGCGGUCCUUGAUGCCCCACAUGCCGCCGUGCAGCUUGCCGGUGCGCACGUCCUGCUCCAUCUGCCACUCGGGCUCGCCAUACCUGUGUUGUAAUUGGAAACAAACAGAGGUACAGAGUCGACAAGAGUGUAGGCGCACAAAUGCUCCAUUCCUUUCACAUGUUCACACACACAUGCCGCCACGCCCGCCGCCCGCCCGCCCUCACGCCCGCCCGCCCGCACCAGCAGUCGCCGCUCUCCAGCUGCAGGCUGUUGUCGCCGCGGCGCACGCGGAAGAAGCCGCGCUCACCCCAGUAGGUGCCCCUGCAGGCGGCAGGGGUGGAUAGCGGCACAGCACAGCACGUCAGCUAACAAGCGACGAAAACCCCGUGCAUGCACACACACACACACACACACACACACACACACACACACACACACACACACACACACGCACACACGCACGCACACAGGUGCGGUUGAGACACGGCUCUCACCAUCAAUGCAUUGCGAGCCUGAUGCUUUGCAUUGCGGGUCCCACACGACGAACCCUGUCGCUGGUGGGCCAGCCAGGCCAUCGCAGCAACAGCUCGCUAAGGACCCCGGCAACUCACCAGCUGUUGCGCACGAUCCAGUACUUCUCGCCGUCCUCCUCGCCCCAGCCCACAACCUCCACAUCUGCGCAGUCAAGAAGGCCACAGUGUAAGCGAGUGGCAUGUGCUGUUGCGCACGACCACUCCGCGUCGCCCCCCGGGCCGCCAUCCCACCACAUCCUUGCAACCCCCCCCCUCCGCCGCACCGUGGUCCAGCUCCGUGUCGCCGCUGGUGUCCUUGUAGAUGCCGCCGUUGUAGUGCCACGUGAAGUCUUCCGGGCACACCUGGCCGCACGUGAUGGGGCCGCGGUGGUAAAUCUCACUCAUCAUGGCCUGUGGUGGUCGGGGGAAUUAUGGGAGGGCGGAGCAGGGGGCCAGAGCGGUGAGGAAGGGCAGGGCAGGACGGGAGGCCGUGAGUUGCAGGCGUGAAGGCUCACAGGAAUUCCGGCGCACGCACUGUGUACUGUGUACCCGCAACUAGCUAUGCAACCACGCCUACCACCUCCAGCGCUCCACAACUACAAGAGUCAUGCGCAUUUCUCUGAAGCGCCCGCCACGCCACGCCACGCCACGCCACGCCGCGCCACGCACACGCCCCGCCUGCCUCACCUCCACGCCCUUGUCGACCUGGCCCCAGGCAGUGAGGUAGUAGCGGAUGGGGCGGUGGAUGGGCCAGCAGGUCUCCACGCCGUCCAGCGGCAUGCAGUUGUUGCACUCGCCAUGCGCGGGGCAGCGCUUGUGGCCGGGGAACUUGGUGUGGUCGGUGGCGUUGUAGGUCAUGCAGCCCUCGUCAGGCAGGCCGAAACUGCGGGGUGAUUGGUGGGUGGGUGAGUGGGUGGGUGAGUGGGUGGGUAGUGGGUCGGUUGGAAGGAGGGUACGCCUAGAUUACAACACGGAGGGGUGGACAAUAUGGGAUACACUGGGGCGGGGCGGCAGGAGGGGAGGGUGAGGGCCGCCCAAACCGUGACUCGCCUUCCCAAGGGCCGGGCCCCUGAGGGCCGCAGGGCCGGUUGUAAGGCAAGAUACCCCACGGCUGAGCGCACGCUAGGACCGUGCGCGUGCACGUGUGUAUUUGCUUCCGUGCCUGCGUUAGACAGCACAAGGCCUGCGCGUGUGUCAUGUGUGGCCCCGCCACCACUCGCCGCACACUCACUCGGUCAUGUACCCGAACACGUCCACCGUGUCGCCGCCGUCGCAGCCGUUGCCGUAGCCCUCGAACGCCGCGCAGUUGAGCAGCGUCUGGCGCGCCAGCAUCACAUCCGGCGUCUCACCCUUCUUCAUGAUCUUCAGGCUGCGCGAUGUGGUGUGCGAGCGUGCGUGCGGCAGGGAGAGAGGCAGGCUUGCGGUCAGCGCCGUCGAGGACGCCAAACGCGGACGCGAAUACGGUAUCGAGGCGUGCACGCGGCGCCAACCAUGCAGACGAAUGCCUGAGCUCCAGACUCAUGACAUCACAGACGCAGGACCGAAUCACUGGUUGCGCCCGUCUCCCAACGAAGCCUGCUGGAAAUUCACGCGCGUAACCCAACCCGGUUGUGGGAGAUGCGCCCCACCGGUCCUGGAUGGCCGACAAUGUGCCGUGCACCCAGCAAGAGCCGCAGUAGUAGGGGAUGUGCUGAUUCCAGUUGGCGACGCAGUAGCUGACGCCAUCCACGUUGCACUGCGCGGGUGGAGGGAGCGGCGGAGCCGCAGUGUGUAAAGGCGCGGGAAAGGGAAUAAAGGUGUGCGGAGCCCCGGGACCAGCACGUGUCCGCCGGUUUUAUCUCCCCGACUUCGCGGGCCCCGCCCCGCAAUCCCCAGCGCGCAAUUCUGUAUGCUUCCAUGACACAUAGGCGCGCACCCAGUUCCAGUUCUUUGGCAGCUCGUGCUCCUUCUUCAGCGGCGCCGGGACGUGGUUGAAAGACGUGCGCCGGCCCUCGCGGGGCUUUUGCAGACUCUUAUCGCGAGGACCAUGGCCCUGCCAGUUCUUGCCCGCGUCCACGCCCAGCAACGCGACACUCAGGCCAAUUGCCAACACUGCGAGCGCCCGGCAAAGUGGGCCGUGCAUUUUCAUGCCGGGUACUACUAAUAGGAUCACAGGCACACUAACAAAACAGUAUUCAGAAAGUACCCUACUGACGUAAAAUCCCGCCGAUUCUGGCCUCAACGGAUGACGGAUUGCCCGAGUCCGUGUCUUGGAACUAGUUAUGAUAAACACAAGUUAUAAGGCUCUAUGCCAGCAAACUAACAAACGUCGUCCGGAGUGCCGGAACCGACAACGUGCCAUACCCUUGCAUUCAGCACUCUGCCUCCAUAUGCCCCGUCACACACGCGUACACAGGUCCGGCCACACCUCUCCCUGGCCCUCUUCCUGGCCCUGAGGCCUGAGCAUGUGGAUGGAUGGUCGGUUUGGCAUGCCGGUGUUGGUCUUGUCGGCCGCACAGCCAGUGUUUAGGCCGCUUUUAGGCCUAUGGCGUGGGGGCCCCCUCCCCCGCGCUGCUGACUUGCACGAGCGGUACCUGGUGUUGUCCACGUGCCCACGCCGUGUUGGGCGAAUACGCUAACCUUCACUGUAUGGACGUGCAAGGACGUGCGGGGGCUAGGCGUCGGACCAUGCUGCUGAGGCCGUUAGGCCCAUCGAUGCUCGGGCACAUGGCGUCCAUUACCCCUUUGAAGUAGCCCGGAAAACGGGAGACACUGUCUAACGCUUCCACACCAUCAACUCUUUCCUCAGACUUUGGUUUCGAUCAAGUCCAAACUAGAAUGGCUCGACGAGCCUUGCACAUUACCGCUUUCGCGAUUUUGCUCACGUCUCUGCCGCUCUUAGCGAUCGCCGACCCUGAGGACAGCUAUGCAGAUCUGGCUGCUCGCGUGGUGCCGGCGAAAUUGCGGCAAGCCCUAAAGCUGCUGCCGUGCUUGACCGCGGACACGGGUGAGGCGCUCGGACCGGCGCUAGUGCGCUACUGUGCAGAGCUCGAGCCGGCAAGCUUUGGAGCGCCUGUGUGUGUACGUGGCUCGUAUCGGCUGUGGUGCCGCUUAAUUUGGGGGUUCCGGCGCGGGGGCUGCGGGGGCUGAAGGGGCGGUUAGGGUUUUCCCGACGGCAAACAGGCUACCCCUCCGGCCGCCUGCUAGCCGGGCCCGCCUACUCCAGCCUACACCAACAAGCCGGCAAUCCAACAUGAGCAAGCAUGCGUAUAUUGCCAUAGUUAUCUUGUUUGGACCAAGGACACAGAAAGCAGCUGACGAGGCGCCGCGUCAGCCUGCGAACCUCUGCCUGGCGCCGGGUUCCCCUACCACCGCCUGCCCCAACCAGUCCUGUCCUUCCCUCCUUCCUGCUCUCCGUGCGACGCGCUCCCCCCGCCACAAACAAACACGCACCUUGUGCUCUUUAGCACACAUACAGAGCCGCUGUCUGCUUGCGCAUACUUCACAUGCACUGAUACACUGUGUCGAACACUUGCCCUUCCACUUGUGCUUUCCUCUUUCCUACACACACACGCACACGUGUGUUCCAGGCCCCGGCGAGGUCAAGCCGCUGCGUGUGUCACUGCUGGAGGCGCGCGAGCAGCUGGACGUGUUCAGCUUCGCCUUCCCCAACCGCAUCCGAGACGCGGAGCCCCUGGCGUCCGCCGAGGUGCUCACCACCUGGGGUCGCGUCAAGGCCGCCAUCGGCGAGCUCCUGAGGGCCAUUGUCGACUGGAUCAACAAACACGUGAUCGACACAGGCGUCAGGGGGCUGGUGCGGCGCGGGGAGCCGCAGCAGCAGCAGCAGCAGCAGCAGCUGCAGGCCGCGGCUGACACGGCAUACCACCGGCACAAGGGGCGGGACCUGUGGCUGGACAUGCGUGCGGACCUGGAUGAGGGGUACGAGGUGCUGGGGGACUUCCAGGUGUGUGUGUGUGGGGGGGAUAAGGGGGGGAGGGGGGGGUGGAACGGCGCGGGUUGUGGGAGAUGAGGAAGGGCCACGAUUGACGCCAGUGCGCUGUUUGCCACGCCCUGUCACUACACGCCCAGUCACAUACGGUACCUGCUUCCACUGCAGCCACCUGGUGUCCGUCCGGUACUUAACGCCUGACUGGCUUCGGGUUUGUCUGAGUCAUGUCAGGCCUUGCAAACUCGUGCCCUGUCCGUCCCUUUCCCCUUAACUCAACCCCUCCUACACCCCCGGGUUCGGUUUAGUUUGGGCUGGAAUCUACAGCCCCCUUCUAACGCUUUCUUCACUGUUGGGACAUGUUUCGUUGGGAUCGGGCAAAUACCCCUUGCCCCGCGCUCUGUGGGCUGGUUCUGGGUUUUGGUUACUUUGGGACUGAAAUAAAGUAACCCUCCUUUUCCUGCCCCAGGACCUGGACCACUCGCUUGUGGAGUACAACCAGACUGACAUGGAGGUCAAACGGGCCGUGUGCCUGGACUGGCAGAGGCGCAUCAGCCGCCACAGCGCCACGUGAGGGCGGGGAGCGGGGAAGGGCGGGGAGGGGGAAAGGGUGGGGAGCGGAGUCUUGGGCCUUGGGUCUGCCCCGUGGCGGGUCCGUACGUGCCGCAUGGCUGCCGCGCUGUGUCUGGCGUAACCCAAACCCCGCACGCAACGCGGUUUCCCACGGCUCCUGUCCAUACUUGACCCCUGCUGCCCGCUCUGCCCACGCAGUGACCGCUAUCUGGAGUUUGUGAGCACGCCGCUGCACUCGGACGAGCUGUACACGCACAAGCACUCCAGCAAGUGAGGCGCCGCCCGAACCCGUGUGUCGCACGUGCGUCGCAUGGGUCUGCAGGACGCGCCGUGUGCGCGUGUUGCCUGAAUGAGGAAACCCAACGCUGAUGAUCCGUUCGGCCGCAGCGCUGGCUGCACUGCCACAGCUCUCCGUGUCCGCCUCACAUUAUUGGUCGCCUGUGCACCUGUUGCAAAAUGCGCACACGCCGCACCCGGGGGCUCCUGUGCCCUGACGCCAUCAACGUGCUGCCUGUGGCGCCACCCACACCGCCAUCAGCACCACCACCACUACCAUCACUAUCUGGCAUCACGCCUCCUCCACACCCCUCACCCUGCCCCCCUCAGGCUGUUUUGGGGCUACAACGGCGUCACUCCCGACACGGCGCUGACCGGGCUGCAGAACCUGGCGCUGAUGAUGCGGAGCAGGUGUGUGUGUGUGUGUGUGUGUGUGUGUGUGUGUAUAUGCGUGUGUUUGCUUUUGCGUUUGUGUGCGUGUGCGUGUGUGUGCGUGUGUGUGUGUGUGUGUGUGUGUGUGUGUGUGUGUGUGUGUCAGGCACGUGCGGGUGUGAGGUGGGGGAAACACACGUGCGGGCGGGGGGCAUCAGUCCGCGGGCGGGCGCCGGGCGGGCGCUGCGACCCCGGGCAGCCCGCCGCCACGCACAGGUGCGCGCCCUGUCUGUGCCUUUACCGCAUACGUCUUGCCUCCACACACUCGGCCCUGGCCCCAGCCUGAGCACACAACCCCCCUCGCUCGUUUGCAUCGGGUUUGGUUUACCUGGGCUGGUAUUUAUCCCCCCCGUGGCUGUUCCCCAAGAUUGUCUACCACUUCCAUUAGUCAUUAUGAAUGUAACCCCCCCUGUACACACCCGCCCGCAGUCAGCUGGCCCAGCUGCUGGCCUGGUACCCCAAUGUGACGGCGCUGCAGCCCGAUGACCUGCUGCAGGUGCGGGGCGUGGCGUGGGGAAGCGGGCGCAAUGGUGCAUGCAGCUCCCACCCGGGAUGGAGUGACACUGGGGCUCCGCGGGGGAUCGGGCUCCGUCCUGCGGCGUGUGGACAGACUGGAAGAACCUGCUUCACGUGUGUUGUCGAGUCAUCCUAUCCACCCACCCCACCCCAAUCACCACAGGACCCCGGCCACACCACCUUCCACAAGUUUCGCAAGCUAAUCAGGUGCGUGCCGCCGGGGUCAUGUGCACAAGUAUGGUAUGGAUCCAGGAAGCUCAUGUAGAAAUGGGUGGAGCGGCCUUCGUGCUGUGUUGCUUGUCAAGGCGUCAUGUCUUUGCUAGCCUACUUCCCGGUACGCGAUAUCUGCACAGCAGUAUGUGGACCGCUAUGAUAGAGCAUUUUGUAUGCAACGCCAUGCAAUUGUUACAUAGCAUCGUGGCCACAUCAGCAACACUGGAUCAACCCGGCCUACCCUCCACCAGGUCUAUUCUGGCGGUCCUGGCGGAGUUCCCCGAGCUGCUGGGCCCCGGCCGCAAGGAACCACACACCCGUGUCGCAGAGGUGGAGGGGGAGGCGCGGGCUGCCGCCGCGGCCACCACCCUGGCUGCGCGGCGCGCCCUCUCCAGCUACUCCAGCAGCAGCAGCAGCAGCAGCAGCCUGCAGCUACGCCGCAGCGGCGGCGGCGGCAGUGGCAGUGGCAGCCGCAAUGACGGUGUGGCGGUGCGGGACCCGUGUGACGCGGGUGCGGCGCUGAAGGCCCUCCAGCGCCUGUUCCACGACCUGGGCCAGACCAACGACAAGGUGCGGGGGGCAGGGCCGUGUGUCGGAAUGGUGGGCGCGUGUGUGGGUUGUGGGCUUGGGCACGGGCAGGGGACCUGGUAUGUCCGUGCGGGGUUCCGACGUCGAAGCGGCUGCGUGAUGGCAUCCGCGGCCAACACAAACCCCCUGCGAGCGGCUCGACACCCAACCUGCUGCGGUCUCGCCCGGCGGCGGGUCCGUCCCGGCGCUGCGCCCUCCCUACUCAGGUAUUCGCCUACCAGUUCUACUCCUCCCGCGGCGCCGAGUGGGCUGCCGAGGCGGAGGAGGCGCACCAGCAGGCGGCGGAGGGCUGGUCUGACAACCUGGACUUCAUGGCCUCGGCGCAGGUGGGCGCAGUGAGGGGUUAGUGUGAAUCGGUCCCAAAGGAACCGAGACCCAGGACUCGGGGGGGGGGGGGGAGGCGGAGGCGCGGGCGCGGGCGAGACUGGUGGGAGCCUGGGAUCGGGAGGUUGUCGAGUCGCUCUCAGCUCACAUCAGACACGUGGGGACUGAGGGGCUGGAGAGGAUGCCGGCUGUACGGGGGUAAGGAACAACAGAGGGGAUGUGGGUCGGGUCGGGCGUCGUGCGGGUUGUGGGUGACAGCGGCUGGUGCCGCUGGUUGCGAUAAAGCAGGCAUCCAAAAUCGCUUGUUCCGCAACCAUGCACCUUCCAGGACAAUGCCAGCGGCUCUUGGACUGCAUUUUGUGCCUGGCCGUGUUGCUUUCGCACAUGCUUUUGCGAGCUCGCCCCCUUGCCUCCCCCUUCUGAGAUGGAGAACAGCGGCAUGUCCCCUGUCCCUGCUCCCCUCCUCCUCGUCUCCCUGUCCUCGCGUUCCCCUCCGCGCCUCCGCCCGCUCCACUCAGGUUGACGUCAUGGCUCGGUGCAUUGCCGCCACACUGCCGCGGGGGGAGCAGCCGCUGCCCCAGCGCCGCCGCCGCCACAUGUAGAGCUAGGCGGGUGGGCAUUUGCAGCCCUUGUACUACCCGCAAUGGAUCAUAAAUACAUUUUACAGCCGUUGCAGCGCGUGCUGCAUGCAUUCAUGCUAGCGUUGGUUCUUUCACGGCGCUUAAAACAGCCGCAGUAGCCCGGUGGAGUAGCAGUCAGACGUGCAAACGUAUAAGGAUGUUGGGGGCUAAGCUGCGCGCUCGCGUGCGCUCGCGCGCACACGCCCAGCUACUGUGCGUAGCUGCUGCGGUGGCGGCGCCAGUGACUCCAAUCAUGUGCUGCGACCCAGCAAAACUGUUGUGUGCGCAUGCGUUUCAGUAAGUUGGGAGCGCUUGUUGGCGGCAGGAGUUUGUGGUGCAGGGGUAGUCAAGUUGUUGAUCGUGUCUGAGGCCUGUUGCACGCUCGGCACUUUGAUUCGAGGCUGGCAUGGGUACUGCUGCUCGAGAGCACGCAUCGCUGGGCUGUGUGUUGGGCUUCUGGGACUGGGAUGCAGACGUGUUGCUCAAAUGCAGUUUGCAACAAGCGCGGGCCUCACAGUGCCCUCCACGGGUGCGACAGCCCCCAUUGUGUAUAAGGGCCAUCCGUGGCUCUCGCCAACGCGGCGCCCCCACACGCGAACAAUGUGUUGGGCUUGCGCCUAGGACAGACGACCACUUAGGACGCUGUAUGAGGGCCAGCGCUAAGACAGGAUCAACCUUAUCUAGCUCCUUACAUGAACGGACCUAGGCCGGACGGCUGGGGAGUUGCUUUUAUUCCGGUUGCACCCGGGGGUUGCAUCUAUCCGUAUUGAUGUGUUGCGGGGGCUUGCAGGCGUGGUUAAGAUGCUUUUGCAAGGGUUGGCUAGCUCUUAAGCCCGGGCGCAUCAUUGCAUCGGCCUCUUUUGAUGCUACUGUAAGGUUUGGCUGAUGACAGCUUUGCGCACGCAAACGUGCUUGGAUUGGGUCGUCAAGCUUCAAAAGACGCGUUUCGCAUGGCCUAUGGCGAUAACGUGCUUCCAGGUGCUGAAGUAGCCGCGUUGGCGCGCGCGAUGGCGGCCAUCAGCGGUUCGCCGCGGCCAUCGAGACUCCCUAGAGGGCACGGUAAGUCUUCAGCUUCAGUCCGCUACUCGAAAUUGGUGUGCAUGGAGUUCAUAGAGGAUAUGACUCACGGUACUGCAGCUGCGCAUUGACAUUGACGAGUAGGGCGCGCGCCCUCCGAGUGCGCGCCAACUGCACCCGGGCAGCUGCCGAUGUACGGCGCUCGUCCGAGUUCUCCUAGCAACCUCUCAUGAGCCAUCGCAGUAUUAAAGCACUGUGGCAUCGACAAUUUCUUACAACCCUAAGCAAUUACAACUGCGACAUCUUACGAAGCUCAUCAGGUCAGACUUAGCGUUUUGCAACAAUCAGCCUCUUCAUCACCAAACUGCAAACAUGAAUUUAGCAGCCAUAAAUAGGGUCAAAGUUUUAGUAGCUGUCUGCCUGGCAAUCGCGGCGCCAACACACGCAGCGGGCACCGGCGCGCGGCCUGAAUCGGUGGCGGCCUUCCUGCGCGGCGGCAACUUGCCAAGCAUGGGCAACAUAGGUGAGUACUUGAAGGCAACUGGGGAUGGGCUGGUAAGGGGUCAGGGGAUUGUAAUCAGCAGCGUCCAAUCUGGCUUACAGCGCCAACAGACCUUAGACUAAUGUUAACGACCAGCACCAGCACGCACAAGCACCGUGUGUGAUGUUGUGACCAAACCCGUUCAACACUCACUUCAUUUGCACAUAACUGUCCCUGCUGUGCCGCGCAGGUGCACUGGCAGCAGGGACUUCAUCCAUCACUCCCGCUACUCAGGCAGCCGCCACCAGCACCGCCCGACCGCUGCAGCGCCUGCUGCAAUCCGACCCCACACUGCCCUUCACCUGCACCGGCAUCUCCCCGCCACAAAACUGCAAGCCGUCGCCGCUCUUUGGCAACAGCAUGGACUGCAGCCAGGCCACCUGCCCCCUGGAGCCCGCGGACGCCACCACGUUUGAGGACUGCGUGUGCGCCACGAACUGCCGCGGCGCAGUGAUGAUCGCGCAGUGCGCGGUGGGCUACAGGCAGUGCGACCAGAGCUGCGUGCCCUUGAUGCAGACUGGCUGCCCCAGCUCCUGCUACCUCAAUGUAAGCCUGGGUUCUAGCCGCCUGGGGUGGGCUUUAAACCUUACUUUGGAGUUGCGAGGCAAGGGUUGGCAGUCGUGUAGUCAAGUGUCAUCAAGUCUGUGGGAGUAGUCCGGGGCCCUGCUGCUGCCGGGAAGUCAGGCUGUGCACCAGCAGCCUGUCAGGCAGGGGUGCCGCUACUAGUCACAGCCUCUCUUGCUGCCGCACCCAGUAAAUUAGGGCCCCUGCCGCAACACGCACGAUGACUCACCUGCGGCGACUCACCUGCGGCCCAAUGUGCCCCUGCCACCUCCCCCCCCCACCUCAUCCACCGCCCACCCCUGCAGUUGGCGUUCUACACCUACUGCCGGUGUUCACCGGCCGAGGUCGCGGAGUGCGUGCAGUCGGUGGUGGAGGCAGUCAAACAGACCUACCUGCAAGUGUGCGCCAAGCUGCCGCGCCGGGAUGGCAGCCCCGUCAACGCAUUGCCGCCCCAAACCUGGGAGCCCGCGCCCGCGCCCAUCCAGCCGGAGCCGGAGCCAUUCCCUGAGCCGGAGCCGUCCCCUGAGCCGGAACCGUCCCCUGAGCCGGAACCCACCCCUGAGCCGGAACCGUCCCCUGAGCCGGUGCCAUCAUCUUCUCCCUCGCCUACCCGCUCGCCCUUACCUUCGCCUGCUGCUUCUCCAUCACCCUCCCCAUCCCCCAAGCCGUCGCCCUCCCCGGCCCUCCGGCCACCGCCCCCUUCCCUAAGCACCCCGGAGCCUGACGCCCUCUACGGCCCGCCUCCAGCGUGGGAGGACGCCUCUCCGCCGCCGCCCUCCCCACGGCCGCCACGCCCGCGCCCGCCCAGCCCCAAAGCCUCACCGCCGCCCAGCCCUCAGCCCUCUCGUACUUCACCCAGCCCCGUGCCUCUCCUUCCUCCCCAGAGCCCACAGUCCCCGGAUCUGCCUUCUCCCGCCGAGCCUCCCAGCCCCGAGCCACCCAGCCCCGAGCCACUCACCCCCGAGCCACCCAGCUCUGAGCCACCGUCACCUGAGCCGCUGCUGCCGCCCCAGAGCCCCAGCUAUGGACAGCCCACGCCGGCCCCUUCCUACAGUCCUGCUCCCCCGUACGGCGGCUCGUACCCGCCUUCGCCUGUGUACGGGCCGUACGGUGGCGUUCAGCCGCCACCGCCUGCUGCUUACGGGUCGUACGGCAGCCCUCCUUCGCCAGUGUACGGCGGUUACAGCUCAAGUCCGUCCCCCUCCGCAGCUUAUGGGUCCACCGAUACGAACCGUCCGCCUCGGCCGCCACGCAAGCUCCAUUCCCGGCCGCGCCCCGUGCCGCAGUGAGGGGCUAGGGGCGUGCUCCCGAACAUGCAUUUGAAUGAAUUGCAUGGUACCACGCAGCAGGUGCAGGCAAAUACAAUACGGUAUUCGUACAUAUAGAGGAAUGCCGCACAAAAGCGCAUUCGCAUGUUGGUGUGUGCGUGAGGUUGAGCAGUUUCGAGCAGGGCUUUCCUGUACAUACUUCAUCUGUACAUACUUCAUCUGUCUUCAUCGGUGCGGAACUGCAUUGAGCAGGCCAGUAGCGGGAGCUAAUCAGGGAUCCGCGGGUCGCCUCCGCCUCGAAGCAUCUUAUUUAUCACCGUAUUGAAUGUAAGCAUGGUGUGGGCCUGAGUAACAGCUCUAUGUCCAGAGCAGUCCAGAACCGUGUGCAUGUCUCUGGGUGUCCAAUCCCAGCAGCGCCGGCCUGUAGCCUUUGCCCGGUAGUCGUGUUUAUAUGUGGGUGUUCCUAUGGUGGUACGGGGGGGUUGGCUGCACACAGGAUCAGUACAUUCACGGACACACGCAUGGACACGCAUGACGUACAACGCAUGGUGUGGAGCGGGGGACGGAGGUUCGCUGCGAACGUUAUGAGCUGUAUGGGGCGGAUGCAAUGACAUACUGUAGUGGGUGGCGCAGCGGACCACGCAACAAACAUUUGCAGGAUGGCACAUGAGCAUGGCAUCUCCACCUGACGAGGUUGCCGCACGGGGUUGCCGGUCAAGGGAGCUGCACCGGGUUGUGGUGUUGGCAUGCAACUCGGGCGUCAGGUGCCACGGGCUGUAACACGUAUUUCGGUAUUUGUGACAAGACACCAACCAUGGUGCUUACCCGUGUCCCCCGAGCCUGAACGCCACCAAUCAGUCACUGGGAGCCCCAGAUUGGCAGGCCUGCAAGGCAAUUGCGGUAGUUGAUGUCAGGCGGCGCCGCUCCCCCAAGGCUGGUUUCGCUUCCCCCUUCGGCCCCAACCCAAUGUCCACUUCCGUAGGCCCAGGGACAUGUCAUCCUGGAAAAUUGGAAACGCGUUGACUUACACUCGGCUGGGUUCUUCUUCUCGAGGGGGUAUCGCGGAGAUAUCCGAUGAAUGAUAGCUAGGGAGCUCUCCAGUGUCGAGUGACCAGACACACCCCUUCGCAUUGUACACGUAACCAGCAGGUGAAUCCACGAGCGUGCAGAGCAGCGUAUGUGCAGGUCCUGAUAGUGCAUCGCCAACAACAGUGCUCCCCAGUGUACCGGUAGGAACGCCACCGGGACCAGGGCAUGCCGGGACUACCGGGCCGGCCAUCAUUGCCACGACAGCCAUCUGCAGUAGGUGUGGCUCAGUCAAUGUUAUUGAUACACAUGUAACACAAGUAUCUUACUAAGCUAUAUUAUAACUGCAUUAUAAAUCGAACGAACGCGUAAGAACUUCCGAUUCCGCCACCCACGACGACCUCGUUCACAGUCACUUCACAUUCUGCGUCCUUACGCUUCCCAAGACUCGUCACUAAAACCAACAUCCAGCUGCAAAUCACAGCGCACUGCACGAGUCGGUCGUCGACUCACUUGGCCGCGAUGGCGUCGGUCGCGCACUCGCACUCCCUGUCCACACCCGCUGUCACCCCUAAACGCUGCUGCCUUAGCGCUCUGACCUCGCCGCUAGCUCGAUGCAUCGGGCCGCUGGGCCACGCAGCGGCUUCUCGGGCAGCGCCGACGUCCCACGCCUCAGCAAGCUCUGGUCCCGCGCUCUCAGUGCACGCCUCCGUUUUAACGCCCCAGCCCGCAGCUCUGGUAACACCGCGUCCCCAGUCGCCAGCAGUCCCUGCGCCUCUCGCACCGACUCUCAGGUCACUGCUGCUCUCCGCAGCCUCCAGCUUGCCGUGCACGCUGCUGGCAGCAGCUGCCUGCUCCGCUGCGGAGCGCUCGGCCUCCGCCGCCGCCACCGCCGCAGCACCAGCAUCAGCAUCAGUGGCAGCAGCACUGACGUUUGAGCCUCGGGCACCGGAAGCGGGCGUGCUGGCAGCCCAGGUGCUGGUGCUGCUGCUGACGGCGGGCGCUGGCGCGUACUGGUGGUACGUGGUGGUGCCGACGGAGCGCGCGGCGGUGGGGCGUAGCAAGCGGCUGGGCGCCCUCAACAACUACCUCGGAGAGCUGGAGGCGCCGCAGGCGACACAGGAGCGCAAGUGGGUAUGCUAUGGUGAAAAUGUGGGCUAAGGAGCUAGGGAUGGAGGGACGGUAGGAGUGAGACUGGACGGCGGUCGUGGUGGGGGGCGCGGGUGCAGGUUCGGCUAACAUAGUGGCAACGAGACAGCGUGGGCGGACCCGGCUGUGCUUCCGGCAUGCUCUUGCCUCAGCCUCCCAUGCACGUUAUCCUUUGCCGCCCAGACUGGAGCGCUGGUUCUACACCGACUGGCUGCAGCAACGCGAGAAGCGCCGCCAACGGCUGGGCAAGCCUGCGGCGUCAGCCGCCGCUGCCGGCUCUGCGGCAUCUCCCGCCGCUGCCUCUCCCACGGCAACCCCUGCCGAUGCCUCCGAUGGCGGGGCCCCGAGCCCAGAGGACCCGUACACUGGCGAGCACGUGCCGUACAGCGAUGACCUGCUGCGACCCACUGUGGAGACGCCCACGCCGCGCUUCUUGUCCCUGGACAACCCGUUGGUCGCCACGGCGGCGCUGCUGACGCUGGUGGGCGUCGUGUCCACGCUUUUGCAUGGGUAAUGGGUGUGAUGAAGUGGCCUAGGGUCGUCAGCGCCCCAAGGGAUACAUUGCGGCUUUUCGUGUCCACUGGGUAGGUUGGGUAGAUAAUCAUGCGAACAGUGUGUAUCAAAGAUAGAAGUGCCGAGUACCCCUGCACCUGGCUUUCGUUCUCUUUGUACGUCAGGACGAUGAGAAAUGCUUGCUAAUACGACGUAUCAGUGGUGGGGGCUCAGCCUGCUGUGUUGAUGCUGUGUUGAGAGUGGGCAGUGGAGGCGUGCAGGGAGCGGCUGCGUAGAUUAACACAGGUGUCCUUGCUAGGACUGUGGGCUACGAGGAUGGGGGUUGUCUCGCUUGGAGCGCAAGUGGCGUGAGCAAGGCUGCAAGGGCUGUGCAGUGUGCAGUGCCUGGCAGUGUUUGUGAAGGCGUUGCGGCGUCGGCACGUGCACACCUGAUAUGAAGGCUACUACCACAUGGGAAAUGCAAGCCACCUAUGUGAUGCACGUUUGUGAUGCUACCGUUGCUAUUGUAUAGGAGUAGGACUGGCACGACGAGAGGAUAGUAACGAACGGGGCAAGGCAACGGGGAGCAUGUCAUUGGAGUAUGGAAAGUAGCGACACUCAGCGACUGGACUUGCCGGCUAGCGGGCACUGGCGCUGAGCAGCAGGAGACACAUGGCAAUCGCUUGCAGAGCUACACAGGCAUGAACUGCAAGGUCACUAGAUGAGGCAGGCUUUGGCGGCCCGGGUGUAUCACGCCCGGGACAGAGGAAUACCCACAGCUGCAACACUAUUGUAACUCAAUAUCGAGCACCGACGAUGCACCGUGGUUGCUGCCCGCACACCCACAUUAAGCCCACGCAACCCCGUGGCCCACCGCAGCACCACCGAACGCUCGACGUUGCACGCAAAUGGCGGGCUCUCCCCGUCGGCUACCACUCUUGGGCUGCUGCAGGGAAUUCCAGUAUUUUACUUACCUGCUGGUCAACGGUCCGGCUGGGUGUGCGAUGGGACAGUUGUAAGGCAGGUUGGUGAAGUCCCGUAGGGUGCCGCUGGAUGUGCGAUGGGACAGUGGUAAGGCAGGUUGGUGAAGUCCCGUAGGGUGCAGCUGAUUCCCAGAACCCAACAGAUGGCACACAAUUGGCAACGGCAGGGCAUGAGUGCGCGGCUGGUCGAACGCCGGGGUGAUUGUACCGACGAGUUGCUGGCUGGCUGGAAGGGUGCUGAAGCGCAUUCCGGUCCAGCUCGGUAGCGUUCCCAUGUUCCGAAUCCUUGCCGCCCUCGCACACCCUAAAGCAUCCCCUAGUCCUUGGCCACCACGAAGCGGCUGACUGGCUGAUUCUCAGAUACCCAUCCCACCUUCAAAGCGAAACCCACAGGCACAGGUACAACUCAUGUCGCGUUGACUUACACUCGGUUGGGUUUUUCUUCUCGGGGGUGAGAUAUCUGAUGAAUGAUAGCAUCCGAUCUCUCCAGUGUCAAGUAACCAUGCCUAACCCUGAUGCCUAGGGUAUUGUACACGGUGCCGCCACGUAACCAGCAGGUACGGGCUAAUUAUUGUGAAGUCACGCGCGUUUGGGGGAAACCAAUAGCAGCGUAUAUACAAACGCAAAACCGCAUAACCUCAGAACACCAGCAAAACUGAGACCCAAAAGUCUCAAAGAAUGUCCUUGCGUCAUGCGAUCACGCUUGGCUUAGCCACACACCAACAACACACACACACACACUCUCAUUGCACUCGCUCAAACACCAACAAACAUCACACACGGCUCAGAUCGACGAGCGCCUCCAUUUACACGGAGCGCUUGUUGGCGGGCUGGAAGUCGCGGGCAGUCUUGGGGCGCUGGACCAGGAAGCCCAUGAUCUGCACCUGCUUCUGGUUGUCGAAGGCCACCAGGCGCACGUAGGCAUCGGGGAAGGCCUUGGUGCAGGCGACGAUCUCGCGCAGCACCUGCAUGGGGUCGCGGCAGCCGAACAUGGGCAGCUUCCACAUGGUCCAGUAGCGGUUGUCGUAGUACAGCUGCGGGCGCACGGGAAAUGGGAGGGAGAAGAGGUUCAGUCACCAGCGCACAGAACCACCAAAGAUGGAAUUGGGCCCCUUGCUUUUCCGUGCUGAAGCACGAGCAGGGGUAUGCGUCAGUUCCCCGCGGUGAGAUAGGCGCUGUCCCGGUGCCAAGCUAACCCAGUGCCACAGUGGACCCGUCUGGCUCUCGCUCCGACUUACGCAAGACACGCUGCCGAAGCGGAUGGCCGACUCGUUGGACACGUAGGCCUUGUCGGCCUCAGCGAACUCCAGGCAGGGGAUCCAGCCUGCAAGCGACAGCACGAAGGGGGUAAGAUAAGUGGCCGACGCAAGCAGUCCAGGGCUAUCCCAGAUAAGGGCGGAUGACAGGCAAACUAUACAGCAGACAACGAACAAGCUAAUCUCAAGCUUCGAGCGAUCGUAAUGUCGCAGUCUGCAGCUACGCCCUAGAUCGUAUUAACUAGCUCUCAAACACAGCCCAGCUACAUAUGCCCACGGCACCAAGCCGUGCUCACCGUUGGCGACGAUGUAGUCGACCUGGGCGGCGAUCUGCUCGUCGGUCAGAGGAGGCAGGUAGGAGAAGGUCUCGAACAUCCUGCGAUCACGCGAUUGACCAGUACUCGUUAGAAGUGGCAGAGCACGUGCGAUGUGAGGCAGCAGGCUGGGCCCCAAGCAAUUGCGUCGCGACUUGCAGAAUCCCUAUCCUUCGGGCUGCGCUUGCUCGUCGACUCACUUGUUGUUGACCGGGGUCCAGACCAUCAUCUGGUUGGCCUGAGCCGGGGCAGCCACGGGGGCAGCCUUGACGGCGGGCUUCAGCGCGGCCAUGGGGCGCACGCUGGAGCGGGCCGGGCGAGCCACGGCCGCGGAGACGGAGGACUUGGCAAUGACGGCGGCCAUUUUAGAUGUUUGAGAAAGUGGUCGAAUGAACGAGUAAGUUCUUGGGACAAAGACUCGGAGGUGGCCGGUCGCCGUUUUCAAUCCCCGCUCGCCGAUGACCCGUACGGCAGGCUUAUCCGACUCGUCGGCUUUCACGACCGCCCGAGCCUGCGCGCUUCAUCCGCUUCCGGAUAGCUUGCUACGAUAAUGCAUUAUUCAAUUUUACGACGCAAUGUCAUGAGCAGCGCCGGGCGGGCUUAUUUACAUGCGUCGCCUCGCUCGCCGUUGACUUGAUACUUUGGAAAUUCGGGCUCGAUUCGUUGCUACAGCCUGCCUUUUGCACACAAUGUGAACGUCGAUUCUACAUUUGUAUGUGACUGAACUUCGCGGCCCCUACUGAACGUUUCGUGCAAGCGACAUGUCGACUCACAACUUGGAGGAACGCGCGAGGGGUCCCCACACGCACUUUCAGCCUGCUUUGGCGAAAUGGACAUGAUAGGUAUAGCCAGGAUAUGGGUCUGCUAGCUCGCCUGGUGUUUUGACCGUCGAUCGGUUUCGCGUUGGGCCUUGCGGCUGCUCGCUCGCCGCGGAUGCUUCCGCACACUGCGCGGCACGUGUUAGUCUGUGCACGACGACGGUUUGUUUGUAUUGCGCCGCCAACGUUCAACGGUGGUGGUAGGUUCGAAUGUCAGAAUGUCGGGCACGGGGACCUUGGGCGCAUUGCCUACAAGCGCGUGCCUGUGUUUUUGGGGGGCAGAGAAGUGAGCCUGCCUAUUGGGUCACAAUAGCACAGAGGCGGGUGGCCAGCGUCGGGAACUGGUUCAGAACGGCUGCAGGGACAGCACCGUGCGUGCGUGUGUGUGUGGGGGGAGCCUUCAAAGUUGACGAGCUUCGCAGCGCUGGGAUGGACUGGCAUUGCGUGCUUGAGUUUGCGUCCCGUGAGAACCCUGCAGUUUAUGGCGGAGACAGGGAAGAGGGAAUGGGAUCGCGCCGGUGCAGGGAAAGGGCACGAAUCUGAGGUUACGGUAUCUGGGGGGAGGUGCCCAUGUGGGAGGGGAAGCCUAACUGCCUGUCUGGGUGCAGACCAGGAAUGGCAACACGUGAACGGUUAGUAGAGAGCUGUGUGCUGUUGGGCGCUCUCGGCAAGGGGCGUGGGAGGGGGCUGGGUUGGUGGGCGGCUGUCCGCACAGUGCCUAGCAGUGCGCACUCAGGCCCUUCGCAGACCGAAGAGGGCGCCAGGGCCUAUGCGCGCGUGGCUUGGCGUGAGGUUCUUGCUGUUGGCGUCAGGCGCCGCAAAAGGCCGGGUGGCUCUGCAGUGUCCUGCUCGCUUGGCGUGCGGCAAAGUGGUUCAGUCAGCGAGCGCAGUGUAUGCGUGUGUGCGUGUAUGCGUGUGCGUGCGUGUGUGUGUGUGUGUGUGUGUGUGUGUGUGUGUGUGUGUGGUUGCUGCGGAGAGGGCACGCAGCGACACGAGAUUGCCAUGCAGUGGUGCAAGCUGCUGGGGUCGGGUAAACGGGGUGGGAAAGUUGGUGAUGGUGGAAUGUUCUUGUGGCACGAACUGGCCUUGUGCGUAUUCGUUCGCCCCGUUCACUCUGGUCCACCAAUCCCACAGUCACUGCACUUAAAUGCCUAAAAGCCCCUGCUACGGUGCGGACAGGGUAAGGCCACGGCAGGUCUAAGUCCAUAUGCGCCCGUAGAGGUUCGAGUGCGUUAACCGGUCGCAAGGUGUUCACAACAUGUUGAUGUGUUGACAACAUGGCUGUGGUCAAGACGUGCCCUGCGAACUUCCCGUGUUUACAUGUUAAUAGAGCUCGCUGACAGCAGUCAUUUGACACCAUUAUGGAAGAAAACAGAGGGGAUUUAGGGGGUGUACGGCACGGUAUGGCACGGUCGGUCGUCGGUCCGGGGGGUCGGGGGGUUCUGCAGGGUGGGGCCUGGAACUAUUGUUCGUACACCCCCGCCUGGCUCCCCUGCUCCCCCUGACUAACCCCUGACCUCUGGCUUUCUUCGCUUUCCUUUCAGUGUCACCAAUUCUCAUGAGUGGGGGCGCACCCCGAAAUAAGCGGGUACGGUGCUUCAGUUCAGUGCUUGCCACGGCCUCAAGAGCCCCAAACCACGUGCACCGAAAUUCGCUUGCACUCCAAAUGCACUGGGAAGCCAGUAGCAGCGCGCUCUCAAAUGCUGGCAUGUGUCUCUCUCUGUCCAGAGCCUGAAUGCGCCAAGUCUGCUACGGUAGGAGGGUGCAACCCGUGGCCCGCCUUGAACCGCGCUUGCACACACAGCUGGAUUGCUGCUGGCAUGACCGUGUGAAAGAGGUACAGGCAGCCGGGCAAGUCCCAGCGGGCAGGUUGGUGUAGGCUAUGCCCCAUAACAGGCCCGUGCAUGCUGCCACGGACUUCUCGCCAGGAAUGUAAGUCCCGAUGCUAGACAAUUACUCCAGCAGCUGCAUGCCGCCAUCUUCAGUACUCGGUAUCCCUUGGUGCACGCAAGUCAAGGAUCAGUCCCAGGGCUCACCCUGGAGCAAUGCAGCCUGCGUGUGCACCUGCGAUGGAGCCGCGGCCUGCGGUAUUGGCUGCCCGAUUACGAAGCUGCGGGUGGGGGCAGUUGGCACGCAUUCCGCCACAGACCCCGCGAGCCUAGCCGCACCCAAGCUCUAAGCGGCCUAGACCGUGACCAAAGGCGAAGAAGCCGCGGCCAUCCCUGCGCUCAGAUUGCAUUGGUUACAAGAGGGACCUGCUGACGCAGUUCAUGGCUUCAUGCGCUCAGAGCCCGAGCCCUGAGCGGCAGCAAAAGCAGAAGCCACGCUACGUGUGCUAGCUACGACCAAUGCCUUGUACAGCUCUCCUCGGCUGCGCUCUUCGGCUGCGCUCCUCGGCUGCGCGGGACAGGGGACUCCGUGCAACCACUAUUGCUUAUAGCCUGCACCAGUCAUUGACGAGUGUUGCGGAACUAAUGCGUACGUAGACCAGAGCGGAAGGCGGAGUGGGCUUGCAGGCGGCACGAGAGUAGGCAGUCAGUAGCGCAAGUUGCGAAUUCCCAUGUUACCUCGUAACCGACGGUAAACGCUGUGGACGGUCGCGCCCAUGGCUGGCUGACGGAAGCUGGCUGCGGUAUUGGGAUGGCUGGGCUGGAUGACGCCGGCCGGGCUGGCGUUGGGACUACCAGAAAGGAUGCGCCCGAAACCAACCUGGAGAACACCAGCGCCACCGGUGCCCAGCACGACAUGUAAGGGAGGGAGGGAGGGACAGGAGGCGUGAUGCACUGCAGCGUAGAAGCUGCAGUCAUGGGCACAGCUUGUACCAUACAGCACGGUCAUCAAGGACACAAUGCCGGAACGGCAUCAUACGAGGCGGGGUUGGGAGCUGCAGGAAGUGGGCAGCGGGGCAGAAUCAAAGGUUUGCAUCGUUUAGAACAGGUGCGGAACACGCGCCAGCGCCAGCGCGGAGGACCCCAAGUAAGGCCUUUACUCACCAAUGUACGUUUUGUACACCCAAUCUCGCCCCCUAUCGACGUUGGCACUAGGUAGCUGGCUAUCAUUCUAUGCAGAUUAAGCAAAGGGGCACCGGGAACAACUGACUCAUGUUCGUCACUGCAGGUUACUGCAAAUGCUGUCUCCACCUUUGCUGCACGGUUCCGUUUCGUCACGUUUGCUGGUGUUGCUACCCGCCGUUCUUUAGUGUGUAACUGAUCUGCGAACCGAGUCCCCUUCAGCUGAUGAACCCCGCAGCAACUUUUCCAAAAGCGCUUCAAAUACGCCCAGCCCGCCCAUGGAGAAAGAGGCCAAAAUCAACGGAGGAUCGUUACAACCAACAAAAUUGCAAAACUCCUCCGCUUUUUACGUGUUGAAAAAGACUGAUCAGCACGAAACGGGGAGCUAAGCUACCGCUUCAGCACUUGAGAGCAGUAUCUUCCAUCCACCGCCGUUCGUCAGGGGGCAAGGCUCAGAUCAACGAGCGCCUCCAUUUACACGGAGCGCUUGUUGGCGGGCUGCCAGUCGCGGGCAGACUUGGGGCGCUGGACCAGGAAGCCCAUGAUCUGCACCUGCUUCUGGUUGUCGAAGGCCACCAGGCGCACGUAGGCAUCGGGGAAGGCCUUGGUGCAGGCGACGAUCUCGCGCAGCACCUGCAUGGGGUCGCGGCAGCCGAACAUGGGCAGCUUCCACAUGGUCCAGUAGCGGUUGUCGUAGUACAGCUGCGGGCGCACGGGAAAUGGGAGGGAGAAGAGGUUCAGUCACCAGCGCACAGAACCACCAAAGAUGGAAUUGGGCCCCUUGCUUUUCCGUGCUGAAGCACGAGCAGGGGUAUGCGUCAGUUCCCCGCGGUGAGAUAGGCGCUGUCCCGGUGCCAAGCUAACCAGUGCCACAGUGGACCCGUGUGCCAAAAGCUAACCCAGUGCCACAGUGGACCCGUCGGGCUCUCGCCAGACUUACGCAAGACACGCUGCCGAAGCGGAUGGCCGACUCGUUGGACACGUAGGCCUUGUCCGACUCAGCGAACUCCAGGCAGGGGAUCCAGCCUGCAAGCAAGGGGAUGAAGGGUGCCGCGAAGGGUGAACGAGGGACAAAGACACGGACAGGAACCGGAUAAGGGGCGGCUUGACCAAGAACUCACGCUCCGACCGCUACUUCGGCAACCCAAAUAAGUGAUUCCACGCUAUGGCUCUGUCGCUGUCGUAUAGCCCGGCUGGUAGCAGCUGGAAAGCUCAAGUGAGGCUGGACAAGCCGCGCUGGCAUGAGUGCAAGCUGUUUGCCCAAGAAAAAGCCGCCGAAAGCCCAGGCUGACUGCAGAUUCCUGACUUGGGCACUGUUCGUUGCUGGAGUGUUGCUCGCAACCCCGCAAGCUCACCGUUGGCGACAAUGUAGUCGACCUGGGCGGCGAUCUGCUCGUCGCUCAGGGGGGGCAGGUAGGAGAAGGUCUCGAACAUCCUGCAAAUGGAAACGGCGACGCAGGGUUAGAUGCUGCUUGAGACAGCGACAGAGGAGCCAAAAGCCUUCGUCGACACAAUGCGGGCGUUGCAAGUCAAAUCUGCAAGCACGCUGCCUGAUCCGCCGGGCUUGCUCGUCGACUCAC
rnacentral:lncRNA from 1 species